rnacentral:lncRNA from 1 species
GGGCUUACUAGUAAUGCUGAAGUUUCCUCCUUUUCUAGCUUUCUUUCUAAUGCCCUUCUUUAUGGUCAAGUGUAUGGUCACUUCCCCGAGGCGCGGAUCCCACUACACGGGAAUAUAUUAUGAUAUAAUGAACUAUCUUCUUUCUAAUAGCUGGUUUCAACAGCCACCGGGGAGGAGACAAGAACUCAAUCUACUGAAACAAGGUUUCAACCACAGCGAGAGCAUACCUCAAAAAAAUAAGGAAGAAAAAGAUAAAGGCGCGAAGCAAAGCCUAUGAAGUCAUAAGGGCAAGGGCUUUCCGUGAACUUUCUUAUGAUGGGAAAUCCUUGUUUCAUUUGCGAGACACAUUUCAUUCGUAGAAAUACCACUUCCUACUUCCUCAUCCCGACAAUAAAGAAAGCACUACGCGGGACAAAGUAGAUUCCCAAACUAAAAGGAAAGACUAAAAUCAAAGCUCCAGAUGAGUUGAAUUGAGGUGCAAUGAAAUAUGCCUUUCAGCAGUGUGCGAAUUCGCUCUUUCGGCUGAUAACCUUUCGAUCCAGAAAGCACUACGCGGAAGUUCCCCACUACGCGGCGCGAAGCGACUGCCCACUUUUUGAAAAGAAAUAAAGAGCGCAGAACAAGGUUCAGUUAAGCUUGAUAAAUCAGUCCUUCGCCUAAGAAUAAGGUUCAAAGAAUAUUGAACUCAUGAAAUCAAUAUCCCUGUCUUAUGGGGCCUUCGUAGCUUAAUAAUGGGGAUCUGGUUCAAUUAUAAGGCUCAAAGAAGAUUGAGAAAGAAUAUUGCAAAAUCAAGGCGGCAAAGAAAAGGUGAAUAUGGAUUCGUACGAUUAGACUUGACUGAGAAUGGAAUUGCUUUAGCUAUCUUUUUUUUCCGUCUUUCAAGGUGGAAGCUAAAUCAGAAUAGUUUCUAGUUGAAGGCAAGCAAGCUAGGGUUGGUUCGUAUUGACAAAGAGCUGGACUUCUAAACUUUCAAUGGGUACUGGAGUACUACUUUGUCAAUCGAUGCUUAAUACUAUCUUUACGCAAAUAAAGGCCGAAGAAUGAGGCUAAGUCUUCUAUUUAGUGGUCUCGCUUUGCACCUUGCUGAUCUCAUUUCAAAAAUGCUUCGCCUGCCUCUUCUUGGAUUCCGUGCACGAGUAAGUACCCGUAAAUCGUAAAGAAAGAGGGGGGGUAGUUACCUGCUCUUUCAUCGAGAUUGGCGAAUUACGGUAGAAGAUAGAAGAGGUUCGAGGAUCAAAGUAUUUGAGCUUUGCUAUUACUUUCAUGCUCCUCUUAGAAGGAAGAUAAGCACGAUAAGCUGGCCUAUAUCAUUGCUUAAUUCAUGCUUUCUUCGUACUUCCGGAAAGAAAUCUCACUCAUUUCAUUCUAUCACAUAAUGAGAACUCUAGAAAAGAAAUUGCUUACUUCAUGCUUUCUUCGUAUUUAUUUCCAAUCCAUCUUUUGUCUAUGACGAUCGGUACGAAAGGAAGGCAUGCUCGCAGGGGAUUCUUAUUACUAAUAGAUGAUAAGAUAAUACGAGAAUGAAAGAGGUCGAGCGCCUCACCUCUGAGUCUGAUUGUUGGAGUAGUCUGAUGACUCCCACUGGUCGUCUUUCAACUCAUUAAAUCCCCUAUCUUUUAUGGCGGUCUUACCGGAAUAUCUACUUUAUAGAAUUCCUAUGAGACUAAGAAACAAACUGAGACCUCGUAGUCUUCCUGUUCCCGGUCGAUCCUAUGAUCGAUCUCAUACAAAGAUCUCAUCUCAUCGACUAAAAAGACUCUUUCUUCUUAGUUUGAGCUUGAGGCGCGUCCAACCCACUACGCGGUAAGCUUUUCCUCUUUUCCUCUCACUUCAAGACUCAAGACCUUACCCGCACCGAGUCAAUCCGAUCGCUACCUUUCCGGGUCGUAUUCUAGUAAUUAAUUUCAUUAAUAACUCAGAGCGGCGAUCUAAAUACUUCUUCAGCAAGAACUUCGAAGAAGGUAGAGGAACUGAAAUGGAUUCACUUCCGCAGGCAGCAUCCCUUUCAACGACGACUCCCCGAGAGACCCGCUUCAAACUUCCGAUUUAGAAAGAAGGUAUCUCAGUCUCUUACCGCGUAGUGGGCUGAUCGUGAGAGAUGGAAUCUUCAACCUCUUAUGGAAAUGUGUCCAGCGGAAGUAUUUACGUAAGAAAUUGAGAACCAGGCGAGAGGAGAGGGGUGAGGAUCGAGCGCAUUCCCUAUCGAUCAGCAUCCUCAACUCUACUUCAGAGCUAGAAAGGUUUCGGAAUUCAGAGGCAAGAGCAUUCCUUCCUCUUCUUUAGUCAAGUCAUUUCAUUCCAUUUCUCACUAGGUCUAUAGAAAUAGUUCAUGGCCACUAGGUCUCGUCAUAUUUUUUCUCAAGAGAUGAGAAGAAAGUUCCUAAUAGAAUAUGUUUGAAUAUCUCAACUAGAAAGUCUCGGAUUAACUCUUCCCAUAGCGUAGCCGCGGCGGAAAAGGAAGAUUUUCAACAGUCAAGAGAUCAAUCAGAAGGGAGCGGAAGAAUGGAUAUUGUCUUCGAUCUUGCGAUAAAAUGAGUGAGACCAUAUGCGAUCUGUCUCAAACAGAGAAUUAGUAAUCUGAGUCGCAGGGAAUAGGUUGAAUAGUCCGGAGGACGGGGAGAAGAAAAGAGAGGUUCCGAGGUUCAAAGAAUAUUGGACAAAGAAUAUUUCAUGAAUUGAGGUGCGGUAGUCCGUCCGAAGGACUAUGAAAUCCAUUAGUUUUCGUUUGCACUCCUUUCUUCUUUUCUUAGAUAUUCUGGGAUUGAACUCCGUCUGAAAUCUAGCAGAUUCAUUUUUAGCUUCUUUCAUUCUCGUUAAUGAGCACUUGAACUGUCUUUCUCAGGCGCAAAAAAUAUUGCCGAGAAGAGCAAAGAAGGAAUGGCGAUCAGAAUUGAGUCCUUUCAUACUUUCGUUGAGGAGGAGGAGUUUUUUCUUGUAUCAUAUUAGGAUAUUUUAGUAGAAUAAGAAGAAGAAGAAGAUAAGUACGUAGCGGGCUUUUCUUAUGGCGGAGCGGAGGAGUCCGACUAUCCACUGAAGAAAGUAGGAAAGCCUAAGGAACCUAAAAAGGGCUAAUAGGGGAAGGAAGAAAGCCUAUCCCUCCAGAAUCUUUGAGGACCGAAGGACUUCUUUAUAUCCCUAUUUAUUUAUUUAUGGGACUCCCAGAAAGGUUUAGUUCCAUAAAUCAGUCGGCUAAUAUAUAGGAUGAAAGUAGAUAGAGAGGAAAAGAAAAAAGUCGUCACUCUUAAGGAGUGCAAGAAGGAAUCUUUGAACCUUUUAUCCUGAUCUCUCUCAUUCUACAACUCAGUCGAGCCACUAUUCAACCUUCUUUUCGAGGGGACAUCAUGUCCUCUUAUCUUAAUCCCAUAAAUCAUUUAAGGCGAUACUGAAAGAAGAAAUCCAGCAACUUAAUCCGGUAGAGUCAAUUCGAGACUAAGACGAGUUGGGGUUUCGACCAUAGGCUUUCCUUCCAAACCUACUAUACUAAACCUACCCCCGGACUCAAGGCGCGAAGUGAAGCGGCUGCCCACUUUUUAGAAAUAAAGAGCUGAGAUAAUUCUUUUCACUCAUUGAGGUCGGCUAAAUUCAAUGGAUAAAGAAGUCCUUUGCUUCAUUCUAUAUGUCCUUAUCAAUGAGACCAUUAAUCAGUCCGAAGGACUAUCCAAAGAAAAGAAUAUCCCUGUCUUAUGGGGCCUCCGUAGCUUAAUAUGGAGCGCUCCGGACGAGUCUUAACUAAUAUUCCCAAUCAAAGAAUUAUCGAAAGAAUGAUCGACGAGUCUUAUUCCACUAAAAUAGUAGUCCUUCGGAGCAGUCUUAAUACUCCUAAAAUCAAAGCUCCAGAUGAGUUUCAUUCCACUAAAAGACGAAAGAAGGUAUCUCAGUUACCAAAGAGAAAGAGCUUCCACAAACCACUUCCACAUAAACUUCUGCUAAGUCUACUUCUGUUAUUGAUUCAACUUAGCCUUUAAUCAGAUUAGGACCUAGCUAGCCAACCUUAUUCCUUCCUCUUCCUUACUUUGUUCUCGCUUGCUUCGGCAACACAUCUUUGGAUACUGGAUAAGCUGCAAGAGAAAGACUUCUUCCGAUCGAUCAGCUACCCGAUUCCUCCUUCCCCGAUGAUAAGGUUAGCAGGCCCGAUCCUCUCCUAUUGAAAAAGAAAGCAGAAAUCUUUCAGUCCAGAGUAUUUAUCCGUAGCCCGGAGGAUUUAUCCGUAGGACCAUCUGUAAUUAACCGAAGUAGUCUGCAGUCUGAAGUCCGCAGGAUUUAUCCGGAGGACUAUCCAUUAGAAGUAGGACCAUCCAUAUGGAAGGAAGUAGUCCAGAAUCCGCAGUCCGCAGGAUUUAUCCGUAGGACUAUCCAUUUUCAGUCGGACUAUCCAUAUGGAAGGGAGCGAAAUCUAGCUAUGAGGACUCUUUGAGCUCUUCUUUGAGUCAGUGGCUGCCCUUCCAGAAGGAGCAGCGAAGUCCGCGGUUUCAGAGGUUUAUGUAGCAGUUCUUCUUUAAUAAGAUGCUUACUUUCUUUCGGGUAGAAAGGUUCACUCGUGAACGCACUACUACAGAAAUUGGUUUACUUGACGUUAAUACAAUGUCAAGUAAAUGUAUACUUGACGUUUUUAAAAGCGUCAAGUAUUCGACUGUCAAGUAUAGUUACAUUACUUGACACUAAAAAACUGUCAAGUAUACGUUUACUUAACACUGUAUUAACAUCAAGUAAUCGACUGUCAAGUAUAGUCACAUUACUUGACACUAAAAUAUUGUCAAGUAUACAUUUACUUGAGACUGUAUUAACGUCAAGUAUUAUAUCAUACUUGAUGUUUAUUACGUGUCAAGUAAGAUCAUACACAUGACGCCUUUUACAUGUCAAGUAAAGUCGUAUACUUGUCAAUUUUUGCACUUCAAGUAAGAUUGUAUACUUGACACUAUGUAUCCGUCAACUAAGAUGAUAUACUUGACACUAUUUAUCCGUUAAGUAAAAUAGUAUAUUUGAUUCUAAGAUAGUAUACUUGACAUGUAUCUAACGUCAUGUAUACCAUUUAUUAAUAUAUUAAAUAUAUAAAAAAUUUCAUUUCCUGUUUUCUGUAUUACGUACAUUCAUUUCAAUAAAACAUAUUCAUCGACAAAAUAAACUCUCCAACUAGUAGUUACACAAAAAAUAAUUUAGUAUAAGUAAACCAACAAUAAUUUUAUUACUCUCAACAACAUCGUCAACAAUUACACAAUUCCAAUCCAAUAUAGUCAACUAAAAUUUCCUAUAUGUGGCCUAUUCCAAAAUCAACAAAAUAAUUAUCUUAUAUAACCAAAAACAUGUGUGGUAUACCAAAACUAAAAUCUAUCCCUUUACAUCUAUUGCAUGUACAUAAGCAUAAUAGCUAUGAACGAAACAUUUACAAAAAAAAAAAAAAAAAGUUAUGGGCAUUCCCAUAUAUUAGUCAUUCACAAAAUUAAUAAGAUCACAUCUAAGGAUGUCUAUCAUAUGUACAAAGCUAAAAAUUUAGCCCACUCCGCUCAUACUUCAUCCAAUUCAAGCUGUGAGUAGAAACUCUUGUAUCAGUCUAUAAAACAUAAAAAAUCAAGUAGACAUUUGUUAAAAAUAAAAAUUAAUCAGAUAAGUAACUUAUUUCCAUCAUAAAAAAAUAAUCCCCUUGUAAAAAAUUCUACAUUGUAAGGAGGAUAUUGUAAACCUAAACAUGAAUAUUUAAACCUAUAUGAAACUAAGUACAAACAUAAAUUAGAAAACCUACACUAAAUAAAUAUUGUUAAUGCUCAAAAACAGUUAAAAAUUAACUUAAAGAAUACCGUAUAACUUAAGCAAGUUUCCCAGAUCAUAAUACACAAGAGUACCUAUUCAACUGAGUUAAGUGCUUCAACACCUCCCCGCAUCUGCAAAGAAAAACAUUACAAGAGUAAAGGGAGAGACAAAAAAACGAACUUCCUUUGAUCUUCUUACAACAUUCACAUUUAUCAAGCUCCACUAAAUCACUAAUAAACCAAGAGGACACUAUUGCUUACCUAUUUAUUGCAGAGAAUCUGGGUUCAAGACAAAAAGAACAAAAUAAUUAUACACCAAAUAUUUUGAAGAUUAUUGAAUAGAAAUGUGUAUAUUGUUCACGUGAAAAUUUCACCUACCAUUCUGCAAAUCAAAACAAAUUCUUUGAAUGAAACCAAAUCAUCGAUGAACUCUCACCACCCUGAAUAAAAAACCAACGAAAUCAAUCAAAGAAAACAAAUACAUUGAACUCAAAAAACAAAAAAGAAAAACUCUCAUCCUCUAACAUUCAGUAGUGAACGAAAAAGGGAAGAAAAUCAGAGGGGGGCGGCUUUUCGGUGAGAAGAAAAUCAGAAGGGGGCGUGUCCAGUGAGGAGAAGGGAGAUCGAGAAGAACUCCAGUGGUGAAGAAAUUCGGUGGGGGCCAUUCCACGUGAAGAAAAUCAAAGGGGAAGGGGGCUUUUCGGUGAGAAGAAAAUCGGAAGGGAAGGGGGACACGUUCGGUGAGAAGAGGGGGGCGAGAAAAGAAAUUUGGUGGAGGGUCGUCUGACGUGAAGAAAAUAAGAGGGGGCUUUUUAGUGUGAAAAAAAUCGGAAGGUUGCGUGUGAUAAGGGAAGAGAGGCAGCAUGUGAGAGAAAAUAGGAAAAAGGAGGGAAAAUGAAAAGAGGGAAAGGGUUGGGGAAAAAAAUUUGGGAAAUAAGUUAGGUUUUUUUAGAAAUAGAGAAAAAUGGAAAAUUUAGAGAAAAAAAGAGAAAAAAGUUUUAGAACUUUAGGAUGAAAAAAAUAAUUGGAAAAAAAAGGGAAAAGUUUUUUUUUUUUUUUAGAAAAUAGAGAAAAUAUAUAUUACUUUUGAUAUUUUAAUAAGUUUAUUGUAAUAAUUUUAUUUUAAUUAAUUAUUUAAUGAAAGGAGGGAAAUAAAAAGUAUUUUAUAUUUUUAUACUUGAUAAAAUAAAAAUGUUAACUAUACUUGACGUUAUUUCUGCAUCAAGUAAACAUUAACUAUGUUUGACGUGAAAAAAAUGUCAAGUAAAAGUUGAACUAUACUUGACACUAAAACACCGUCAAGUAAAUUCGACACUAUACUUGACAUGGAAAAAAUAUGAAGUAAAAGCUAAUGUAAGAUAAUUAAAAAAUUUCAUGAAAAUUUUGCUUUCUUUAAACUAUACUUGAUGUUUUGUUCGUGUCAAGUAAAAGUUCAUUAUACUUAGCGCAAAUAAAACGUUAAGUAAAAUCUCCCUUAUACUUAACGAGAAAAAAACGUCAAAUAAAAGCUAACUUAAAAUAGUUUGAAAAAUUUCGUAAAACUCCACUUUUUAAAAACUAUACUUGACGUUUUUUCUUUAAAAUGGUCAAUACUUGACAUUUUUUUAAUAAAAACGUCAAGUAUGUAAAAGUACCUAGUGUCAAGUAAAGUAGAUUUUGUAGCAGUGACGGUACACCUCUUAUAUGAUGCCUGGGGACUUUGUCCCUUCUUCUACGGAUUUCUCUUAUAUGAUCUUAUUCAUCUCCGUAUCGUUCAUAUAUUCAUUCUAUAAAAUCCCUAGCUGCCACAGAUGGUCGAACUUGCCUCUUAAGUGGCGUGGGUCGAUCCUCUUGUUGACUUUUACCUAGGAGUGGGGGGAAGAAGUUCGAGAAUAAUUUCUCUUCUUUCCCUGUCCCAGUUCUUCUUUCCACUUCUACUUAAGUCACCACGACUGAUACAGAUGCAAGAACAUCAGGGCGAGCAGGGAAGAGGCGGAGGGAGUUUGCACUUUUUCAUGCGGGUUUGAGUGAGACUGAUGCGCCCUAGGUCAAGCCAUUGCUUCGUCUUGUUCAUCACAUUCAUUAUGUUCACAAUUCCGGAAUCAAAGUAGAAAUACGAGAAAGCGCUCCAGCGGACUCUAAUUCAUUGGGAAUUCUAUCUUCCCGCCUCAAUGAACAAGGUGAAAAGAAUAUUAAAUGAAUCAUUGAGUUAAGGCGGUGGAACCUAGGAGUGGGACCGGGAACAUGAUAGGCUUCAAUCUAAGAAGUGAAUAUAGUAUUGAAAGAGGCCCACGGAGCGAUGUCCGACUAUCCUACUAUCGAAGCCUUGAAGCAUGAGUCUUGAGGUUUUCAAAGUCUACUCAGAGGACGAGGUUGAAGUUUCAUAGGGAAAGGUUUCAUAACAAGCAGUUGUUUUCCGUAUCGAAUGCUCUUUCAUUCCUUAUUCGAAAGAAGGCAAAGAAAGUGGAAACUAAAUCCUUGGAUUCUUUCCCGCUUGAACCAUGAAAGGUUAGGCCUUAGUUACGAUCUCAUUCAAUGCCCUAGCAUACUCAAAGGUUCGGGGCGUAGUGGAUGGAGCUAGAAGACUACUACUUGGACGAGGGAUUUCCUUUCUCUUAUUGUAAUACUCCUAACCACCCCUUUUUGAAUGGGCAGGCCCCUCUGGUCGAGUUUACCCUUUUUAUUCAGGCCUAUCUGCCUCCGUUCAUGAAGGACAAAAUCGGAUUGAGCCCUUGUUCAUUGAGGCGUAUAAGCCCACGUAGCGGUGCCAUAAGACAGGUCUGAAGGCGUCACAGGUCCGGAGGACCCGUCUGUCCGAAGGACGAGAUAUUUAUAAUGUUGAGAGAAAGAUUAGACUUUGUCAGGACCCUUAUUUCCGUUAUUUUUCACUUUCAAUAUUCUUAAGAAUAUUCAUUCAUCCGACAGAGCAAAGUUCAUCCAGAUCCCCAUAUGAAUUAGGCGAAGGACUGAUUUUCAAAGUCAGAGCUAUCCCUCAAAUUCUUUGAGCCUCUGCACUCAAAUUCUCUAAUGGAUAGUCCUUCAGACCGCUAGGAGUAAAGAAUAUUGUGUGGAACUGAACUAAUAUGGAAAAAGCAUUUCCUAUUGAUUUCUCCCCUGGACUGGACCUAUUCUGAUUCUGAAUUAUCCGUCGCUACGUUGUUCCCAUGGACUAGCAAAAUCGAAAUAGCGAAAUUCUUGGGUCAUCUCAAUGGGUUCAGAAACCACACGUUUCUCUGGAUCAUCAUAGCGUACUUCCACAUAUCCACUCAGAGGAAGGUCUUUUGUAAUGGAUGACCCUCGAAACCAUAAUAUGUUGAUAUACGGCGUAGAUCCGGAUGAUUGAUGGAAGAAACACCAAACAUAUCCCAAACUUCUCGCUCCCACGGCCGGCUGAUGGAAAUAGACUGACUACCGGAGAGAUUCGUGUUACUUCGUCUGCACUGGUUUGUACACGAAUGCGUGAGUUAUACCGAGUACUCAGUAAAUUAUAGACCACUUCAAAUCUGAGUUUUCUAUAUAUAUUUAUAUUGAUGUUAAUAUGUUACCUUGUAAUUGGAAUGGUGAUUUGAAUAAUCUAAUAGGAUUAUGUGUUUGGAUCAAAAUAUGUUGCAAGAGAAAUAGCUAAAUGUGUGGAUUUAGUGACAAAGAGGGUAUUCAUGUGUUUAUUUUAGUUUUCUCAGUGAGGACUCGAUUUUUAGAAGAAACGACCACUGUUCGAAUCAUUCAAAACUUUGUUCCGAACAAAAAUUUUGGACUUUGUCAUUGUCCUCUUCGUCGAAUGUGACAAACUUGAAGACAACGAUGAAACAUUGAAAGAUUACUUGGAUCGAAAAUGUCCUGUGGGGUUGAAAGAUACCAUAGCCGCUAGCAAGAACUGUUGCUUGGUUUUCAAUAACAAAACCGAUAAUGAAACAAAGAAGAUUGAAUAAGUGGAUAAACUUAUAAAGAUGGUGCAUGAAGUUGUACAACAAAAUGAAGGAAAAGCAUACACUCAUGGCUUGUUUUCUAAUGUCAAGUUUGAGACCAAGUUGCAAGAUGAUGUGAAAACCAAGCUUGAACACACAAUUACAGUUCAAAACACAAGCAAAAUUUAAAGCAUAACAAGGAGCACAAGAACUUCAACAACAAUCUAUUGAUCAAAUUCGAGUCCUCAAAGACCAUCUAUGCAUCAAGACUUGAAAGGUCACUGUCACUACCAAUGCUUCCACAAAUUAUUCGUCAUGGUCGCUGCAUGAGAAAAGGUUGCAUUAUUGUAUGACUUUACUGUGCAUGCAUUCAAUAAAUAUGUACAAGUAAUUAGUAUAAUGAAUAUAUACUAAAUAAAAAUAUGAAAAAACUGUGAAAAAAAACUUAUUUGAUUAACUGCUAUAAAAAUUAAUAUUUGAAAAUUGGCAUGUGUUCUCGAAACUAAUAAAAGCAAGUUUGGAAAUGCCUUUAUUUUGUCUUUGUUGAGUGUAGUGUAAAUUGGCAAAUAUAGAAUGCUUAAUUAUGUUGUUAAUUAAUAGAAAAUUAUUUUAGAAGUUUUGAUGAAUGUCCAACUACAUGUGGAAAGAAUUAUAAAGGAUUGAAAAAUGAUUCUAUAAUCUAGCCCAAACAAGAGGUGGGUUAUUAUAGCUCACUUCACUUCUAUUUAGUUUGGGACCCAAAUAGCCUCUUAAAAUUAGGUUAACUCCAUAACUAAUAAGGGUCUUUAACUCAUAUAGUCUAAAUGCUAUAUGAUAUUACAUGAAUGAUCCAAAUUACUAAUAAAUUUCAUAAAAGUCCUAAAUGGACUAGUAUAUUACAUAAAUGUAGGCUCAAAUUACUUUAAUACCAAUUUAUAUUAUUUAAUUGAUUUAUAACAAAUAUCUAAAUGAAAAAAACCGUGGGAUAUAGUUUUGGAAAGAAGUGGGGUCCAAAUUAAUUUAAUAUCAACUUCUAUUAUUUAAUUUAAUUGAUUUAUAACAAAUAUCUAAAUGGAAAAAAUGGUGGAACACCGUUUUGGAAAUAAGUGGGGUCCAAAAUAAUUUAAUACAAAUUUUUAUUAUUUAAUUGAUUUAUAACAAAUAUCUAAAUGGAAAAAAUAAAGAGAUACAGUUUUGGAAAGAAGUGAAAAACUUUUCAUGCUUUCCUACCACGAAAAUGGUUGUCUACUCCUUUCAACGUGGAUUACGAUUUUUACUUCAAAAUUUUAGAGAGUUCGGAGGUGAAGAAGAAGACAGUCGACGACCGACAAAUACAAAACUUCUCGAACAUAAUCUAGUUAAAAACUUUGAAGUUAGUAUUGUAUAUAUUCAACACAUAUGAAACAUUAGAUAUAUUAUGUAUAUUUUAGAUAUUCAAUUAAAUAGUCAAUCAAAUGAAAAUGUAGUUUUGAAUGUGAUACAUUUUAGGGUUUAUUGAGAUUUCGGCGGUGAAGAAGAAAACUUUUGAUGGCCAAAAAAUACAAAACUUAUCCGACAGAAUCUAGCUAGAAAAUUUGUGCUUAAUAUUAUAUAUAUUCAAAACAAAUGAUUAGAAACAUUUAGUAUAUUAGGUAUAUUUUAAAUAUUCGAUUAAAUAGACAAACAAAUGAAAAUAUAUGAAACAUUUGGUAUAUUAGGUAUAUUUUAAAUAUUUGAUUAAAUAGACAAACAAAUGAAAAAUUAGUUUUGAAUGUGAUACAUUCUAGAGUUUAUUAAGAAUUCAACGUUGAAAAAGAACGGUCAUCCUAUCAAAAAAAUAAUAGAACUAUAUAUAUAAUAUGAGGUAUAUAUAUAUAAACAUAGAACAUAACUAUUAUAGAUUACGGAUAUAUUAAAGUAUAAUGUAAUCAAAUACAUUUAUAAAGGAAAAAUAUGUAUGUAUGAUCAUGUCGUUUACUACCGUUUUAGUAAUAUUUAUUCUACAAACACAAAUUAUGUAGGAAUUAUGUAUAAGGUAUUAUUGUAUAUAAUAUGAGGUAUAUAUAUACUAAAUAACAUAUAUGAAUUAAAGUGUAUAUUUUAUUAGUGAAAGGUUCUUAUAUCAAUUUGUUUAUGAUUUUUAUUUAAAUAUUCAUAUAUUAUGUAGUAAAUAAUACGUUAUGUUUGAAAUAAUAUUGAUUAUGUAUUAAAGUUGCCCAUUAGACAGUUUUUUAAUAAAAUAUACCUAUUAUAUUAAUAUAGAAAAUGGGAGGAAAUCGUGCAACAUUAAAAUAGGAAACUUCUUUACCAUUUUCUCACUUUCCAUAUUCAACGAAAAGCUUGCCAUUUCGACAGUCAAUGACAUAUACAACAUAUUAUAUAAUGCGAUAAUAUUAUAAAACUAGUAUAAUCAUAAAUAAGAUGUGAUAUAUAUUUAAGGGAAAUAUUAAAAAACUGAUAAAUUCAUAAUAGAAUAACGUUAAAAUAAGGAGAAUAUUGUUAAUAUAUAAUAUAUAUACGCAUAUGAUAUACUCAUAAUGAACUAAUUUUAAAUGGGUAAAAUAACAAAUGACAUAUUUAUGUUAUUCUUCAUAUAAAACAUCAACUAAAAGUAUUAUAUCUCACGGUUAAUAUAUAAAACUAUUAUAAAUGUAAACAAGAUGUGAUAUAUAUAUAUAUAUAAUAAAUCACAUAUACAACCUAUUAUAUCAUCCGAUAAUAUUCUAAAAUUAGUAUAAUCAUAAAUAGUAUGUGAUAUAUGUUUAAAGGGAAUAUUAAAAAACUGGUAAAAUCAAAAUAGAAUAACAUUAAAAUAAGAGGAAUAUUGUUAAUAUAUACUAUAUAUACGCAUAUGAUAUACUCAGAAUGAACUAAUUUUAAAUGGGCAAAAUAACAAAUGACUGUGGAUUUUAUCUUAUCUUCAGGUGAUGGACAAUUGUAUAUGACGGCGAUUUGUUAAGAUUCUGCAGCUUACGGUUAUGAUAAAUUUGAAUACAAAUUUAUAAAACAAUGUAAUAAGAAGUUCAAAUGAUGGAGAAGAAUAGCAAAAAAAAGCUGUCGGCGAUGGAGAAGAUAAUGUAAUGGCUGCCAGAGAGAGUGAACAAUUAGGUUAAGUUAUAUUUUUAGAAAGAAUAAUUAAAUAGUUUAUUACAAAAUAAAGUAAAAUUACAAUUAUUAUAAUAUAUUCUGAUUUAUAAUUAAUUUAAAAGAUACUUGAAAUUAUUAACAUAUUAAGGUCUUUUGUUUAAAAGUUUCAACUAAUAAUAAUGAUAGUUCUCAUUAACCAAUUGACAAAUGAUUGAUAUUGUCAAAUAAUCGAUAUUGUCAAAUGAUCGAUAUGUGCAAGUGCACAUUUCAAUUAUAAUAUAGUAAAACGUUCUUAGAGAUCGAGCUAGUAUCCUUUUAAGAGGGAUCAAAUUAACAAAUUAAUUUAUUGAUUUUAGGAUUAGAUGUGUUUUAAGGAUAAAAACAAUGAUUAGAAACUAAUAAAAGAUCCCUAAAAGACAAAUAUGAAAUCUCAAAGAAUAAAAAAUGCUCCAAAAUUGUAUUUGAUUUCACUGUUCAAUCCAUAAAAUCAUGAUGUGUAUAGGUUAUAUGAAAACUAGUGUCAGUAUGUGUUCAGCUCAAGUUGUUGACUUUUGAAAAAAAUAUCUUUCCAUUCAAACAUAUACAUAGUUUGGUUGGUAGUUUUUCUUCAAAAUUAUUAUUUUGAGAAAACAAAUACAAUUUCUUUUUUAGGUAAUCCAAUAUCCUCGAGUAUAUUUAAAUAUGGAAAUAUUAUUUCCAUAUUAGAAGAGAUACUAAAAGAUCUUAUUAUAACAUCAUUAGAGUCCCAUCAUUUUCUCUAAAUAUCUCUUUUGUGGUGAAAGAUUUGGAAUUGCACAUCAAUCAUUUUGGAAUGGGUAAUUGAUCACCCUAUUUUUCAAAAAAUAAGAAAGAUAAAAAAUAGUUAUUUUUUUUAAAGAUAUAUUUGAAAGUGUUGAGUUUAUGGAAGGUAUUAGUACUUAUACAACCACAAACAUUUGAUUUUUGUUAUCUAAAUUAUUUUAAUAAAAAUGUUUUUUUUUUUUUGAAGUUUAUGCUUAUUAAAAAUGCUUAUUUAAAAAAUGUUAAUGAAAUUUUAAAAAAUAAAAUCUAAUUAAACACUUCUGAGAUAGAGAGGUUUCCCUUGACUACCCGAGCGUAGAUAAACACUUCUGAGAUUUGGUUGGUAAUCCCAAGUUCGUGUGCAGUUGAUUAUUUUUUAAAUUUUGUAUAGUUGAAUAAUAUUUGAAUUUUAAAUUUUCAUCUAUGUGAUAUUUACUCAUUUCAAACUUUUUGAAUAUGCAUGUUUAUUUAUUAUUCUGCCGUCUCUCUAUUGUAUUUUAAAAUUUAGAAUAUGUGUAUUUAUAUUAUUUGAAAUUGAAAAUUUAACUUUUGCUCUUACAGUAGGCUUUAACUCUUUGUUUGUCCGUGUUGUAGGUGAGAGAGAAGGAAAAGUUCCAUUGUUUGAUUGAAUUGGAAUUGUUUCGUGCAUGGGGUGUCAUACAUAAUUCCACUUAUUACUAGUUGAAGGUCUUCUUUGCCUCUGUCUUCUUCCCCAUCUCCCCAAGUUGUUCUAACCUUUUUAUAUCUACCUAUUACAUGUCAAAAGGUUGUUUCGCUCUUCAAUGUUUUGAAACAAGUUCAUUAUGAAAAUCUCUCACAAGCAAACGUCAUGUGCAUUAUGAAUAAUUUCAUCUCAAAAAAAUUGUUUGAGAGGUUUCAAAAGUGUAUCGAAACUAAUAAUUUUAAUGAAUAAAAAAAUAAUUCUUCGUUAGAUUCUUACAUUUUAUUUCAACGAAUAAAAUUUAGGAAAAUUUUUAAAAAUAGCAAAUUUUACAAAAAUAUUUACAAUUUAUAACAAAUUUAUAGUCAUUGAUAUGCUAUAACGAUAGUUACUAGUAAAUAUUUUAAUUUAUUUUGUUAUUUUUAAAAAUGCUCAUAAAAUAUUAUAGUGAGGGAACAAUGAUGAAUCACAUAGUUUUCUUGUGGUGAUGUCGCUUUUUAUCCCUCUUUACAUUCUAAAAUCUCAAAUACAAAUCAUAAAACAAGUAGAUAUACAUUCAAUUAACAUGAUUUUGAUUCUAAUAAAUUAGAAAGACAAAAAUAACUAACUAAUUAUGGAAAAGUAAUAUUUUAACAUGAAUUAUUGAUUUUUAAUUAGAGGUAAUUUUAAAAUAAAUAAAAUAAAAGAAAAUAUUACAAAUCAAAUCUAAACUAACUUUGAUUUUACUUCUUUAAUUGCAAUAUAACAUAGAUACAUUGGCUAUGAAGUGCAAUUUCUUAUAUUAUAAUAUUUAAAAGAUUUAAAUUUAAAAAUAAAAAUAAGUAAUCUCAAGUCCAAUAUUGGACCUGUGGGGCUUAGCCCAUCAAUUUAAAAAUUCAAAAUGCACACUCAACGGUCACAUUUUCCUAGGAUCAUCCUAUUUAAUGCCCUUCUACUUGUCAACUCCAUCGAAAUCCUUCAUUUCUUGUGGCACCGUCUAAAAUUUGCUUCGAUUGAAGAAAUUUUGACGCCCAUGACAGCGUUGAAAUUUCUUCAAUGCAAACAAAUUUUUUAUCUUCCUUUCAUCGAGGAUUUUCAUACCAUGUGAAGGAGAGAUCAGUUCCAUCAGUUCCAAGUCGUUCGUGAGUCAUCUUCUUUCCUGUGUAGUUUCAUCUCUUGAUUUUGGAUUGCUUGUUCAAGAUUUAUUUUCGAAUUUUGGAUUGUUUGCUAUUCGGAUAGGCAGAAGGUUUGCACGAUGAUAGAUCUGGAGUACCUGAAUCGUUUAUUGAUUCUGUAGUUUAAUCUUAUGAUUUUGGUGAUUUCGAAGCGUACAAUAUAAUCGUACUGUGUUAUGAAGUAAAUAAGAUUUUGUAGGGUUUUUGAAAGUUAAUUUAGAUAUUUCCUGCAUUUUAGUCUUGAUAGAUCUGGGUACCUGAACCGUUCAGGUUUGCAUGCUGUGAUUGUGUUGUUCUUUUUUGAUUUUGGAGAGAGUCCUUGGGUAAUUUUGAGGAUUGUUCUUUUUUUAGUUUUUUUUUGCAUGCAUUCAAACACACGCAUGGUUUUUAAACUGGGGUUCUUGAAUAUUUGUUGGUUUUCUCGAAUAUUUGCCGGUUUUUUUUUCUCAGAAGAAUUGAUCUUAUAUUUGUGUAUCUCUCUGUGCAACUUUAAUAUAAAGUUAUUAAGGAAGAAGAGAAAGGAGGAAGAAGGGAGAGAGAAAAGGUAGAAACGACCUAAUAGUAGGCAUGAGUAUUAAGAUGCAGCAGAGCCACCACUUAGUGGCGCUAAGGUUUAAUGAGCAAAUUGACAGUAGAAAAGGGUCCACAUCCAUACCUAAGUUACUAUUGCUCUGGGUUCUGUUGGUGGCAUUCAUUAGUAUGUUAAACUACAAAGAAAUGGAUGGGUGGUGUUAACAAAGUUAGAAGAAAGUAAGUUCUGGGAAGUAUGUGUGACCAGACGACAAAGAUGCUUCUGCCUCAACUUAGUGUCAGUGUCAAACUAUGUCCAGGCUUUGGCCAUUCUCAUUUCAUUUCCAGUACUUCAAAAUCGUAUCAGCAAUUGAUCAGGAAAAUGUGUUUCGAUUUCUGUCUUUUAUUAGUCUCGGUUAGUUAGGCUUAAGAGUAAGGGAUAUAAUUCAUUUUUCUUGUUUCAGCUAGAAAUUACGUCGAUGUCUUGAUUUUUAGUUUUUUUAGGGCUGUUUGGUUGUUUUUUUAGGGGUGUUUGGUUAGUUAGGCCUAAGAAGUAAGGGCUAGUGAAAGAGAAGCAUUUGAUUGUCCUACAAGUAUCUGAAUCGCCAAUGAAAGCAGAGGUUAUUUCCUCUGAAUUUCCACGAAUUGUUCAGGUUUGGAUUCUGUGAUUGUGUUGUUCUGUUGUUCUCUUUUUUAUUUUGGAGUGUUCUAGGAAAUUUUGAGGUUUGUUAUUUUUUAGUUUUUUUGGCUUGCCUUUAAUCACGCUCGUUUGGGAAUAGACAGGCUUCAGAGAAUGAAUCUCCUUUUUAAGGGUUCGUUGGGAGCGAAGUGACCAUAUGGCAUCCCUUUCUGCACCUGCUCAGUCUCUCUCUUGCCUUUUUCAUACUACAUAUUUUUGUUUCUCAAUUUAGUGUCAGUGUCAACCAUGUCUAUGCUUUGGCCAUUCUCAUUUCCACUUUCCACUACUCUAAAAAUGUAUCUGCAAUUGAUCAGGUAAAAGUGUUUCAAUUCUCUGUCUUUGGUUCAUCUCCGUUAGUUAGUCUUAAGAGUAAGGGAGAUAAUUCGUUUUUCUUGUUUCCCUCCAUGUAUUGAUUUUUAGUUUUUUAGGGAUGCUUGGUUGGUUUGAAUGCACGAAACAUUUGCUGGUACACGAUUCAAACAGCUUGCCCAGUCAUGUUUUUCUAUUUUUUUUUAAUAUUUUGGAAUUUUGCAUGUGUGAUUUCUGUAUAUAUUAUUCUUGCCCUUUUCCUUUAUCAUCAUUUAUUUUGAUUUUGGAGAGGUCUCUUGGUUAUUUGUUAUUUGCACAUAUACAAGGGUUGAAAAUUUCAAUCCCACCUCUCUUUUAUAUUACAUUCAUUUAGUUUUGGCUGUUAUCUAAUUGAACUAUUUGAUCAUCAAAUAAUUGUGUUACCUUUUCUUCUAGAUGUUUAGAUUCAUUUUUCUCACUAUUUUAGUUUUCUUAAUGUGUGACAGUCUUUGUUUUUUAUUGAACUAUUGUGUGGCAGUCUUUAUUUAUUGGUUAUCUUUAGUUUCACUAUUGUUCUUUUUUUAAUGUUUUCUUAGUUUUUAAUAAGUGUGACAAAAUAUGAAUUAAUUUUUUUCUUUGAACAAAUGUGGAAUUUAUUUUCUUUUAAUGUAGUUGUGUCCCCAAUAAAUUUAUUUUGGCGAUUUAACAAUCCAUCAUGUUCUUUUUCAUUUUUCUGUUGUAUUUUCUUCGGUUCUUUGUUGUGGUAUGUCUAUUUUUGAGACAUUCUUAAUUUAGUUUUAUUUCUUUUAGCUUCCUGCAUCAUUUUGUAUUAUGGAUUGUUAUGAAAUUUUGAGAUUAUGCUUUAUUUUGUUUUUUGGUCCUUUGCUGUGAUGUCUUUUGAUUAUUUCUUUUGAGUGAACAGUUCAUGUAAGAUUUUCUGCAUGAGAAUAAAUUGAUUAUUUAAUUUGGUCAAAGAAGUUCAAAAUUUACAUGUGAAAUUUACACUCAGUGGCUGUAAGGUUUAAUGAGAAAAUUGGAAGUAGAAAAGAGUCCACAUUAAUUCAUUCAGCCAAGAGGGCUUGGCAUCCUAAGUUUGCUCUGGGUUCUGUUGGUGGCAUUCAUCAAUAUGUUAAUCUAUUAGGGAAUGUAUGGUUAUAACAAAGUAAGAAGAAUGGAAGUUCUGGGGGAGUAUUUGUGACAAGAGGGCAAGGAUGCUUCUGCAUCAAUUUAGUGUUAGUCAAUCAUGUCUAUGCUUUGGCCCUUCUCAUUCCACUUUCCACUACUACAAAAAUGUAUCUGCAAUUGAUCAUGUAAAAGUGUUUCAAUUUUCUGUCUUAGGUUCAUCUCAGUUAGUUAGUCUUAAGAGUAAGGGAGAUAAUUCAUUUUUCUUGUUUCAGCUAGAUGUUACCCUCCAUGUCCUGAUUUUUAAUUUGGCUUCCUAAGUGUGCUCUAGGUUCUGUUGGUGCAUUCAUCAGUAUGUUAAUCUACAGGUGAAUCUAUAGUUAUAACAUAGUAAGAAGAAUGGAAGUUCUUGGGGAGUUUGUGUGACAAGAGGGCAAGGAUGCUUCUGCAUUAAUUUAGUAUCAGUGUCAACCAUGUUUAUGCUUUGGCCAUUCUCAUUUCCACUUUCCACUACUCCAAAAAUGUAUUAUCUGCAAUUGAUCAGGUGAAAGUGUUUCAAUUUUCUGUCUUUGGUUCAUCUCAGUUAGUUAGUCUUAAGAGUAAGGGAGAUAAUUCGUUUUUCUUGUUUCAGCUAGAUAUUACUCUCCAUGUCUUGAUUUUUAGUUUUUUAGGGGUGCUUGGUUGGUUUGAAUGCAGGAAACUUUUGCUGGUACACGAUUCAAACAGCUUUCCAUGUCAGGUUUUUCUAUUAUUUUUCUUUAAUAUUUUGGAACAUGUGUAAUUUCUGUAUAUAUUAUUCUUGCCGUUUUCCUUUUUCAUCAUUUAUUUUGAUUUUGGAGAGGGUCUCUUGGUAACUUGACUUUUCUUUUAGUUUUGACUGUUAUCUAAUUGAACUAUUUGAUUAUCAAAUAAUUGUGUUACUUUUUGUUCUAGAUGUUUAUAUUCAUUUUUCCCACUCUUUUAGUUUUGUUAAUGUGUGACAGUCUUUGUUUUUCAUUGAACUAUUGUGUGGCAGUCUUUAUUUAUUGGUUAUCUUUAGUUUCACUAUUGUUCUUUCUUUAAUGUUUUUCUUAGUUUUUAAUAAGUGUGACAAAAUAUGAAUUUAUCUUUUUCUUUGAACAAAUGUGGAAUUUAUUUUUCUUUUAAUGUAGUUGUGUCCCCAAUAAAUUUAUUUUGGCGAUUUAACAAUCCAUAAUGUUGUUUUUCAUUUUUCUGCUGUAUUUUCUUUGGUUCGUUGUUGUGCGAUGUCUAUUUUUGAGACAUUUUUAAUUUAGUUUUAUUUCUUUUAGCUUCCUGCAUCAUAUUGUAUUAUGGAUUUUUUCGAAAAUUUGAGUUUGAUCUUGUUUUCUGGUCCACUGCUGUGCAGUUUUUUUUUAUGAGAUAUUUUUAUUUAGAUUUAUUAUCUUUUAGCUUGUUUUGCAUUUUGCAUUAUAGAUUAUUUUUUAAAAUUUUGAGGUUGUUUUUUUUCUUUGAUCUUUUGUUGCGGUGACAAUUUUAAUUUAGAUUUAUUAUCUUUUAGCUUGCUUGCAUUAUGGAUUGUUAUGAAAUUUUGAGAUGAUGCUUUAUUUUGUUUUUUGGUCCUUUGCUGUGAUGUCUCUCUAUAAGACAUUUUUAAUUUAGGUUUAAUAACUUUUAGCUAGCUUGCAUUGUGGAUUGUUAUGAAAUUUUGAGUUUCUGCUUUCUUUUGAGUUUUGGUGAUGCCUUUUUACGAGACAUUUUUAAUUUAGGUUAAUUUUUUAGGUUGCUUGCAUUUAUGGAUUGUUCUGAAAUUUUGACUUUCUGCUUUUGUUUUUUAUGUCAUUUGUUGUGUGAUAUUCUCUUUAUAAGAUAGAGAUAUUUUUAAUUUAGGUUUACUAUUUUUUAGCCUGCUUGCAUUUGGUAUCAUAUAUGAAUUGUUCUGAAUUUUGAGUUUCUUCUUUUUCAGUCAUUUGUUUGCGAUAACUUUUUAUAAGACAGACAUUAAGAUUUAUUAUUUUUGGACUUGUUUGUAUUUUGUAUCACGGAUUGUGGUUUUUUAAAUUCAGAGGAGGAACUAGAAAUUGUUCUUGUGAUAUGUUAAAAUCUAGUUUACUGCAAAGAAUGAAUUCUAAAACAGAGGGUAUGAAUUCGUCAAUAAUUUUUCUCCAUUUCUGCGUUGAGCAAUGUUUAGCUGAUAUGUUUGUGUAUUCUUUACAUUAGUGCAGCACCACAUGCUAAUUUAGGUGUGAAAUGCUAAUUUAGAUGUGAAACACUUCCAAAGAUGACGAGAAAUCAAAGAUUGUCGUAGUAAAAAACCUCACCAGUUUUUCCUUUCAGGUUUUUCUUUUCUUUUUCUUUAAUAGUUUGGAAUUUUGCUGGUGUGAUUUCUGCUUUUCUCUUAUCAUUUAUUUUGAUUUUGGAGAGCAACUUUGGUAAUGUUAAGGUGAUUUAAGAAAAGUUGGUUGUCCAAGAAUCAAUAUUUUUAUAUUACCUUAAAUCUUCCUAAGACAUGUUGGGUCUUUCUUUGGCCUUUGUUAGUGUCUUCUAUUAAGUCUGUUAGUUUCACUUUAGUUGGGUCUUUUUUUAAUUUUAUUUUAUCUUUUAAAUUCCAAAUCCUACUCAUUUGGUCAUGACGAUUGAAUAAUCAUUGUUAAAUUUAUUUCUUGUUGGGAGUGUAGAUUUUAUUUUCUUUUUGGCCUUUGUUAUUUGCAUCUAUACAGGGGUUCGAAAAAUUCAAACCCUUCCCUCUUUUAUUCGACAUUCUUUUAUUUUUAUUAUGUACUAUUGGAUUGUUAAAAAAAUUGUGUUACUAUUUCUUACAUUCCAUAAAGAACCCUUUCUGAUGGAUUAUUUCUUAUUGAACUGUUUUAAAAUUUUGAGUUUCUUCUUUUUCUUUUUUGGGUCCAUUGUUGGGGGAUGUACAUCUUUAAUUUUUUUUUUUUUUUAUAAGAGAUGAUACAUCUUUAAUUUAGAUUUAUUAUCGUUAGCUUGUUUUGCAUUUUGUAUUAUGUUUUUUGAAAUUUUGAGUUUCUUCUUUUUCUUUCUUUGGUCAUGUGUUGUGCGAUGUUAUUUGCAUUAGGGGUGUUUGGUUGGUUGUUUUUUAGGGGUGUUUUGGUUAGUUAGGCUUAAGAAGCAAGGGCUAGUGAAAGAGAAGCAUUUGAUUGUCCUACAAGUAAUAAGCUUCUCCUCAAUCAUUCAACCAUUUUUUUAGUAAAGAAAGAGGCUUCUCCUUUGGCAACCAAAGUCCGUCCUUGGUCAAUAUAUAUCAAAAUAAAUAAGAUCCAUCUUUGGUAAUUUUUUAAAAAAUUAAAUCUAUAAAUACUCAUUUCAUCUCUAAAAUUAUGUGAUUUGUACUUUCUAAAAUUCCCUCGAUGGUACUAAUACACUCUUAUAUUUGUAUUGUAAUUAUCAUGUCCUUUUUCUAUGGUUUUUUAAAGUUAAUUUAGAUCCUUAUUCGCUCUAGGUAUAAGUUGAAUGGAAGAGUUUUUUAGCCUUGAUAGAUCUUGAGUACCUGAAUCGCCGAUGAAACAGAGGUUAUUUUCUCGGAAAUUCCACGAAUUGUUCAGGUUUGGAUUCUGUAAUUCUGUUGUUCUUUUUUUAUUUUGGAGAGUGUCCUGGGUAAUUUUGAGGAUAUUAUUUUUUGUUUUUUUUCGGCUUGCAUUUAAUCACGCGCGUUGGGGAAUAGACAGGCUUCGGAGAAUGAAUCACCUUUUUAAGGUUUCGCUGGGGAGCGAAUUGGCCAUAAGGCAUCCCUUUCUGUUCAGUCUCUCUCUUGCCUUUUUCAUACUAUAUGGUUGUUGAUAUGGGGUUAUUGAAUGAUUGUUGCUUUUAUUUUCAUAAGAAGUGAUCUUAUAUUUUUGUCUCUCUGUGCAACUUUAAUAUGAGGUUAUUAAGGAAGGAGAUAAAGGAGGAAGAAGGGACGGAGAAAAGGAAGAAAUGACUGGAUUGUUGGGAUGGGUAUGAAGAUGCAGUAGAGCCACCACCUAGGGGCUGUAAGGUCUAAUGGGCAAAUUGAAAGUAAAAAAGAGUGCAUCCAUUCAAGCUAAGAGAGCUUGGGUUCCUAAAUUACUAUUGCUCUGGGUUCUGUUGGUGGCAUUGAUUGGUAUUGUUAAUCUACAAGGGAAUUGAUGGUGUUAACUAAGUUAGAAGAAAGGAAGUUUUGGGCGUAUGUGUGACCGGAGCACAAAGAUGCUUCUGCAUCAAUUUACUGUGAGUGUUAAACUAUGUCCAUGCUUUGGUUAUUCUAUUUUCUACUUUCCACUCCUCUCGAAAUGUAUUAGCAAUUGUUCAUGUAAAUGUGUUUCGAUUUCUGUUUGAUACUUCUCAGUUAGUUAGGCUUAAAAGUAUAGAAAUUAUCUUGAUGUCUUGAUUUUUAGGGUUUUUUUCAGCGGUUUUUGGUUUUUGGUUUUUUUUUUGUUGGAUUUUGGCUAGUUAGGCUUAGAGGUGCAAGGACUUGUGAAAGAGAAGCAUUUGAUUGACCAACGAGUAAUUAGUUUCUCCUCAAGCAUCCCACCACUUUUCUAUUAAAGAAAUACAGGUACGUCUACGCUAUUACUUUUCAUGUCCUUUUACUUAAGAUAUUUAUAUAAAUAUAUAUAAAAAUAAAUAAGAUCCAUCUUUGGUAAUUUUUUUAAAAAUCAAAUCUGUGAAUAUUCAUUUCAUCUCUAAAGUUUUGCGUUUUGUUACUUUUUAAAAUUCCCUCCAUGUUACUAUUACACUCCUAUAUUUGUGUUGUAAUUAUGAUGUCCUUUUUCUAUGGUCUGUUAAAGUUAAUUUAAAUCCUUUCUUGCUCUUGGUUUAUGUUGAAGAAAUGGAAGAGUUUUUUAGCCUUAAUAGAUCUGGAGUACCUUAAUCGCUCUUGCAUUUUGUGAUUCUGUUCUUUUUCUAUUUUGAAGAGUGUCCUGAGUAAUUUUUAGGAUUUUUAUUUUAUAGUUUUUGUCGCUUGCAUUUAAACACGGACUUGGUUGUUGAACUGGGGUUCUUGAAUAAUUGUUGGUUUUGUUUUCUGAAGAAGUGAUCUUAUAUUUGUGUAUCUCUAUGUGCAACUUUAAUAUGGGGUUAUUAAGGAUGGAGAUAAAGGAGGAAGAAUGGAGAGAGAAAAGGCAGAAAUGACUUAAUUGUUGGGAUGAGUAUGACCCCAUGUCUAGUAGUUCCCAAGUAUGAUAUAGGAAGGCAGAGAGUCAAGGCCUUGUCUGACUCUAAUAGAAUUAAGUAGCUAACGCAACACAAUAUUCUUUGCACCUUCAGUCUGUGAAUCUGAGGAGCAAGAGUUUGGCCAGAGGAGCUAGUCUCGUAACUACGGGCGCAGUUCUAGUUCUUUACAAGACAGAUGGGAACUGUAGCUAACAAGUGUGCCCUGAGUGGAUUCCUACCACUACUCUUUCUACUAUAUUGGCAGGACGGGUGCCAAGUUAUUAGUAGCUAGGCAGCUAAGCCAGUAGUAGUUCAGUUCAGGUGCUGUUCCCAAACCUAGUUGACUACGUUGUAGCGUAGCGGUACGGGACAGAAAAAGAAUUGAUAGCGGUACACUGAACACAAAGAAAUUUGAUAGACAUAUGUUGAGAGUUCGACAAGUAGCACUGAAUCUACUAUCAGUAGUGAUUUAUAGAAGUUGACUCGCUUAAACGAAGAGAGUGAACAAAGCAUAGCGGAGUGAAGAGAGAAAUGGUUUCAUUAGAUAGCUCUCUCGAUGUCCUUGUUAUCUUUCCUAGGUAGAUUGUGACUUAUUCAUUCUUUCUCGCUGACUCUAGUUUCCCCGCCGUGGAUCCUUUCUCUGUUAGGCGCUGUAAUUUAGAAUUCAGAAACGUAUCUGUCUUAUUAUCUUUGAGUCAAAGCAAUGUUACAUAUUUAUAUAGAUAAUAAGCUAAACCCUAGAGACUAUGUAAAAUUACAAUAAAGGACAUAUGUAUAUAUAUAUAUAUAUCAUAACACUCCCCCUCAAGUUGGAGCAAAUAUGUCGAUCAUGCCCAACUUGUUGCACAGAUAGCUUAUCCUUGUUCCAUUUAAAGCUUUAGUUAGAAUAUCUCUCAAUUGUUCUCCGGUCUUCACAUAUCCUGUGGACACCAACCCAUCUUGGAUUUUCUCACGAAUGAAGUGACAAUCCACCUCAAUAUGUUUAGUUCGUUCAUGAAAUACUGGAUUAGAUGCAAUAUGAAGUGCAGCUUGAUUAUCACACCAUAAUUUAGCUGGCACGGUAAUACUGAAGCCUAUCUCAGAUAAUAGUUGGUGAAUCCAUACUAUUUCACACACAGAUUGUGCCAUAGCUCUAUAUUCUGACUCAGCACUCGAACGAGAAACAACAUUUUGUUUCUUACUCUUCCAUGAAACUAAGUUUCCACCUACAAAAACACAAUAUCCAGAAGUCGAUCUCCUAUCCUCACGAGACCCCGCCCAAUCAGCAUCAGAAAAACAUUCAACUCUCGUAUGUCCAUGAUCUUUGUAUAGGAUCCCACGUCCAGGAGCAGCUUUUAGAUAACACAAAAUCUGCUCUACUGCAGCCCAAUGAUCCACUGUAGGGGAAGACAUGAAUUGACUUACAACACUUACAGAAUAUGCAAUGUCUGGUCGAGUCACUGUUAAGUAGUUCAACUUCCCAACUAAUCUCCUAUAUCUCUCAGGAUCUUUACAUAAUUCUCCUUCUUUAACAAGUUGCUGAUUUGGCAUCAUUGGAGUGCCACUUGGUUUGGUGCCUAAUUUUCCUGUUUCAGACAACAAAUCAAGUACAUAUUUUCGUUGAGACAAAUAAAUACCUUUCUUGCUUCUCAUCACUUCAAUGCCCAAAAAAUAUUUCAAUUGGCCCAAAUCUUUUGUAUAAAACUGACCCUGAAGGAAAGUUUUGAGAGACGAAAUACCCAAUGCAUCAUUUCCAGUAAUAACAAUAUCAUCAACAUAUACAACUAGUAGAACUAUACCCUUCUCAGAUCGGCGAUAGAAAACUGAAUGAUCAGAUGUACUCUUCUUCAUACCAAAGCAUACAAGGGCUUGACUAAACUUACCAAACCACGCACGAGGACUCUGUUUCAAACCAUACAGAGAUUUUCGAAGGCGACAUACUUUAUCACUCUCCCCCUGAGCAACAAACCCUGGUGGUUGUUCCAUAUAAACUUCCUCUUGAAGAUCACCGUGAAGAAAAGCAUUCUUAAUGUCAAGUUGAUGCAACGACCAUUUAUUGGUAGCAGCCAUGGAAAGAAAUAGGCGAAUGGAAGUUAACUUGGCAACCGGAGAGAAUGUAUCUGAAUAAUCAGUGCCAUAGAUUUGAGCAUAACCUUUGGCAACAAGGCGAGCCUUUAAACGAGCCACUGUUCCAUCAGGAUUCAUCUUGACAGCAAACACCCAUUUACAACCAAUGGCCUUCUUUCCUGCAGGACGAGAUACCAAAUCCCAAGUAUCAUUAUCAUCUAAAGCAGUCAUCUCCUCAAUCAUUGCAUUUUGCCAGCGAGGAUGAGACAAAGCUUCAUGAACAGAGUUAGGAAUAGAUGUGGACUCAAGAGACGUAAUAAACGCAUAUGUGGAGGGAGAUAACUGGUGAUAGGAAAUAAAGGAAGAAACGGGGUAAGUACACUUGCGUUUACCUUUGCGAAGAGCAAUGGGAAGAUCAUCACUUGGCGCUGGAUCACAUGAUGAAGGAAGCAUUGAUGGAGGACAUGAGUCUGAAGGUUGUGGUGGAGGUCGUCGGGAGUAGACUUGAGAAAUCAACGGGCGGGAAGGAGGCACAUCAGUAGACAAGGAUGGUGUGGGAGAGGUAACCUCAUAUAUAAAAAGAUUGUCAUCCUCCCCCUGACACAAACUCGAUGGUGAUGAAGUAAAGGGUGUAUCUUCAAAAAAGACAACAUCAGGCGAAACCAGAUACCUUUUAAGGGUAGGACAAUAACAACGAUAACCCUUUUGAACACGUGAAUAACCCAAGAAGAUACACUUCAAGGAUUUGGGAUCUAACUUAGUAUGAUGAGGACGAACGUCACGAACAAAAGACACAACCAAAUAUCUUAGGAGCAAUAGGAAACAAAUGCUUGGUAGGAAAAAGAACACGAUAGGGAAUCUCACCAUUAAGAACAGAGGAAGACAUUCUAUUAAUCAAAAAACAAGCUGUAGAGACAGCAUCAACCCAAAAGAUUUUUGAAACAUGCAUUUGAAACGAUAAAGCACGGGCAGUUUCAAGUAAAUGCCUAUUUUUUCGCGCAACACCAUUUUGAGAUGGAGUGUCAGCACAGGAAGAUUGAUGAAUAAUGCCAUUUUCACACAAGUAAGAGCCAAGAGAAUGAGAAAAAUAUUCACCCGCAUUAUCAGUACGCAAAGUUUUGAUAGAGACAUUAAAUUGGUUUUUUAUUUCAGUAUGAAAGGCACAAAAAUGAGAUAAUAACUCAGAACGAUUUUUCAUUAAAUAUAACCAAGUUAGACGAGAAUGAUCGUCAACAAAAGUAACAAAAUAACGAAAGCCUGUUUGAGAUACAACUGGACACGGACCCCAAAUAUCAGAAUGAACUAACUCAAAUGGAGCAAUUGCUCGUUUAUCGACUCGAGGACUCGAACUAAGACGAUGAAAUUUCGCAAAUUGACACGAAUCACAAUUUAAAGAGGACAAAGACCUAAAUUCUGGAUAAAGUUUCUUCAACACGAACAAAGAUGGAUGACCUAAACGACAAUGGACUUCAAAAGGAGAGGGAACGACAGGACACGCCACAGCUUGCGAUACUUGAUGAUCAAAGAGAUAAAGGCCUCCUGACUCAUAUCCUCUACCAAUAAUCUUCUUCGUCACACGAUCCUGAAACAAGCAAUAACCAGAAAAGAACAUGACAACACAAUUUAGGUCAUGAGUAAGUUGACUAGUAGAAAUUAAAUUAAAGGAUAAGUUAGGCAAAUGUAACACAGAAGAGAGAAAAUGAUGGGGUAAGGUGAAUAGUGCCAGAGCCAAGAACAGAAGAUGUGGAGCCAUCGGCCAAUGUAACCGAUGGAAAAGGGGCAGGGGACAACGGUCUAGAAAAUAGGUGAGAAUUACCUGUCAUAUGAGCUGUGGCACCAGAGUCUAUGACCCAUUUGGUAGAUGAUGUAAGAAGACACUUUAUAUUACCUGGGGCAACAGUGGAUGCAAUCGGAGUAGAGGAAGAUGACGCUUGUAAUGACUCUUGGUAAUUCUGAAACUUAGCAAACUCAUCUGCCGAAAUAGUAACUGACGCCUCUGGUAUAUCACAUGUGGAGGCUAUCUGAGCAUGUUGAGAUCGUUGACUAUUCUUAUAUAGCAAUUUCCGACAAUCACGUUUCAUAUGGCCUGGCUUACGACAGUAGUUACAAACAAUCUCUACAGACUCUGGUUUUCGAUGAUCAGUACUAUUCCUCUGAGGUGCCCGAGGGUUAUUGUUCUUGCUAAAGAGAGCACUACUGGGUUGAGGAAUAGACACACUAGUCGGAGAGCUUUCAAUGCGAAGGACUCGAGUGAAGGCAUCAUCUAAUGAUGGAAUCUUGGAGUCAGAGAGAAUCUGUGUCUUUGCCAUUCCAAAUUCAGGUAAGAGUCCAUUCAGGAAAAUCAUAACAGCCAUCUUCUCUCGUUGAACUUGUUGAACUUUAACAUCAGGACUAAAAGGUAACAACAAGCCAACUCGGCAAUGAUCUUCUUAAGACGCAUAAAGUAGCUGGUGACAGACUCAGCUUUCUGUUCCGCACGAGAAAAUUGCAUACAAACUUCAAACAUUCUAUGCACUUGCUCUUUACCUGAGUAUAGAAAAUCCAAAAAUUCCAAAAGUUCUUUAACAGACUCACAGUGAUCAACCAAUCCAAUUAUCUCACUCUCAAUUGAAUUCUUGAUCUGAAGAUAUAAACGGGCAUCAUCACGAAGCCAAUCCUUCUUCUGCUUUGCAUCUUUUGGGGGAUCUUCAGUCAUAUGAUCAUCCAUAUCAGUACUUCUCAAAUAAAAUAAAAUUGUCCGACGCCAAUCGUAAUAAUUGGAUCCAUUUAACUUAUGUUCUGUGAUCUUAGAGGCCAAGGGAAUAACGUUGGAGACUACCAAAUUUUUUAUGUCGGCCAUAUUGAAGUCACACGUUGAUUGUAGUCCACUCGAACAAAGAGAAAAUCAAUCCAAACAGCUGCAAAAUUGGAAAAAGACACAAAACCAAUCGUGUAACCUUCGGUUUUCGUCAAACCCGAAUGUUAUUUGAUAGACCCAAUGGUACAGACUGGCAGGAAACAAUGGUUCGAGACAAGCCCAGAAGACAGAAGACAAAUCGGACUUCUCACGCGCUCUCACGCGCCUGUGUGGAUGAAGGUGACGAUGAUUCCGGCGGCGCGUGACGGUCACGCGCGGUGUUUUCCGGCGAUCGGCGAAGACAGACUUGGGCGGACGGAGGUGGUGCUUCUUAUGGUAUGGGCGGUGUCGACAAAUGGUCACCGGAAGGUAACCCAAACUUCAAACCUAAUGGAGGGCUCUGAUACCAUGUAAUUUAGAAUUCAGAAACGUAUCUGUCUUAUUAUUUGUUAAGUCAAAGCAAUGUUACAUAUUUAUAUAGAGAAUAAACUAAACCCUAGAGACUAUGUAAAAUUACAAUAAAGGACAUAUAUUACAUAAUAAUAUAUAUAUAUCAUAACAAGGGCCUCCCCUAUCCUUAUUCAUUGAUCGCUCUCUUUGCCGCGAAUCUCGGCAUGGUGGUUCUUCGCCUCGCAAUAUUCUUUGCUCCUCCUUCCUGGGCUUGAUUGGUACAUCAAGCAUAUCGGCAUUUUGCUUCUUCGGUGUGGUACAUAUAUCUAUCAAUGAAAAGAAAGUAAUAGAAUUCAUUCCCGCGUACUCGCAUAUUGAAUUGCGCCUUCGGACCAUCAAAGAAAGGUCCAGGGUCCGAAGUCCGCUGGAUUUAUCCGGAGUCCAGAGAAUUUAUCCGUAGGACCAUCCAUAUGGAGGGAAGUAGUCCGGAGGAUGUUGGAAUUUUUUGUCCUAAAACUCGUAGUUUAUAAAUCAUAUUCUGUUCAAUAAAGUUGUUAUUGAGAAAUUAAAUAUUAUAAUCUUAAAUCCAAUAAAUCAAGUUCCAAGGCUAUUUUUGAAUAAACUUGAACUUUAUGUGUAAACAUAAACGUGGAUCAAGUUCGAGUAUAUAGCCUAAAUAGUCUAUAGUAUAUGAAAUAAAGGUUGGGUGCCUUAUUUAGGGAAACUAUGGAUGCGGUCCACUUUGUGGUACAAACGAGGUGAUCCUAAUCGUUCAUGUAGAGACAUGAAAGUGAGGGCAUUCUAUGUAAAAUGUUUACAUAAGACUGAACCAUGAAUUAGUUUUUUUUACGUUAUAACACCGUUUACUGUUUAAAACUGACUAUCUCAACAUUUUGACUUUUUACUAAGAAAAGUCAAAGUUUGACUUUUGACUAGAAAUAUCUAAUGACCAUUUUACCCUUGGACUAAGUUAGUGGGAAAAUCCAACAUUUUGUUGGAUAAUCCCACUAACUCUUAGUGGGAUAUGUGGCUAUAUGAGAUAUAGACACCUAGCCCACUAAGUUCCACUAAUUGUUAGUGGAACAUUUGGUGUUGAGAUUUGGCAAAAUGAAUUGCAUGCAUUUUUGCAUGUAAUUAGGUUAUAAAUAGAGGUGUUUUCAAAUGUUGAAGAACUUUUGCCUCUUUUAUCAUUUUCAUCAUCUCAACCAAAUAAAAAAAAAGGAAACCUUCCAAUCCCAUUUUAUCUCCAUUACUUUCUACACCAAAAUUGGGUCCCACAACCCGGUUCUUUGUCUAGAGGAUAGCAGUUGAGUACUAGUGGUGGUCUCGGUUAGAAUUGGUAAGAAGAUAUCAAACCUUUUGAAAGCUUCAAAGGUAAUAUUUCCUAAAACCCUAAUUUGAUUAAUUUAUGGUUACAUGUUAAUUGUGGCAAUUAGGGUAGAAAUUCGAUUUUUUUUCCGCUGUGCAUGACUUAGUUCUAUCAGAGGAUUUAUUCGUAGGACCAUCCGUAAUUAACAGAAAUAGGACUAUCCAUUAUCCUCCGUCCGGAGUCCGCAGGAUACUUAUCCGUAGGACUAUCCGUAAUUAACCGAAGUAGUCCUCCAGAAUUUCUGUAAUUAACCGAACUUUGCACCUCUUGACUAUGAAUCAUAUAUAUUGAUUUUGACCGGAGCAAAGAUCAUUGCCCACGGAGCGGCGCAAAGAAUAUUGCGACCUGUGGAUUCAUUGAGGCGGUGAAGAAUUGCCAUUUUAUGAGCUUGUAAAACCCCUCCGGAGGAGAAGGAUAGGGGAGCAAGGUUCAAAGUGGUUUUCAAAGUCAGAGCUAUCCCUUAUUAUUGAGGGCUUUGACCACCUGGACACUUACCUACUCAGUCGCAAGGAUCAAAGAAUUUGAUUGACAAAGAAUAUUGCGAUUUUACCGAGUCCUUCGUCUCGCAAUAUUCUUUGCGCCUUCGAUGAGUCAGGUUAAUAUGGAUAAGUCCUUCGGACUGAUAGCGUCCAAAAAAUAGGCGAGGGCGGGCGGGCUAUAAGUAGGCCGUUUGCUAUUGCUAUAAGGGCUGCUCGCCUUUAUACGGCUUGGCUUCGCUAUCGCUCAUGACUUGUAUUUGUGGUCGGCCUAAAAAGUAGUCUUCCUACCAUAAAAAAAUGCCUAUUAUCUAGUUCGUUAAGCUUCGCCAAAAGCAAGAUGAGGGCGCUUUGCUUCGUAGACAAGGCUCGUCUAGUACUUGACUUACGAGUUCGUGUAGGACUUCCCCCUCUCUCUAAAGGGGCUUAUGCACAGAACUCCUUGUCUACUAAAGAAGCGUUCGAGCGAGCGAGUUCAGCCUGAAAUUGAGUGGUCUCCCUCCUUUUCCCUCACUGAGAUAUUAUGUCUUUCAUUUCCACUUAAGCUUCCCCGCUUUGAGGGAUUAAUUGAUUGGAUACCCGAGAACCAUAAUCUUUCCUAGGAACUGCUUCUACGACGAUAGGUGUAAAGGCAUGAUUAGUUCCACAAAUCUCACUGCACUGACCAUAGUAAACUCCUUCUCAUUGUACCAAAAUGGAGAUCUGAUUUAAACGACCAGGUACAACAUCACAUUUGACACUUGAGGAAGGUACAACCCAACUAUGAGGUAGAUCAGCAGGUGUUACAAUAAUACGUAGAUGAGUUUUGGCUGGUAGAACCACUCUAUUGUCCACUUCUAAUAAACGUGAUUGACCCAAUUCUAGAUCAUCUUCUGGAAUCGUAUAACUGUCAAAAGUGAGUGACUGUUCAUCGGAACUGUUAUAGUCAGAAUACUCAUAAGUCCGAUACCAUUGAUGUCCAAUAGCUUUGAUAGUCAUGGCUGGAUCUACUACUACCUCGUCCAUUGAGUAUAAGAGAGCAAAGGAUGAUAUAGCAAUGAACACCGGAAUGAUACUAGGAAAAAUGGUCCAAAGAAUCUCGAUAGUAGUUCCAUGAACUAUCCUUUGCGGUAUUUUCUUUUUAGAAUAGUGGAAAUGCCAUAAAGCGCGAACCAAAAUCCGUGAUACGAAAACAAAAAUCAAAAUGAGGAAGAAAAAGAUAUCGUGAUGUAUGUCUAUUAUUCCUUGCAUCAUAGGUGUUGCUGUGUCUUGAGAUCCUAAUUGCCAUGGUUCCGCUGCAUCACAAGGAGCAAUUGUGAGGAAUAGCCAUUUGAGAACAAUCAUUUUCUUUGGUUUAUUCUUUGACUGCUCUGCUCCCCCCCCCAAAAAAAGAGAGACUUGUUCUUGCUCUCCCAAUGAAGGAAGACGGAAAUCGCCGGUUGGGUUGGUCCAACCAAGAAAGGCAUGGGAUGGGCAUUGCUUGGGCCGAGUUAAGUAUGGCUACCUAUUACUCCUCACUGCACACUUGAAAUAUCUCUUGAUACUCCCCCCUCUUUCUUACAACUAGUUGCUGCAUGCUAUCGGAUCUCGAGCAAUGGGAGGUUACAAUUGAGAAUCCACACUCUCAUUACAUUACAUUUUGAUGUCGAAAAGGUCUUUUGGGCAAUGAGCAUUCCUUAUGGGCGUAUCCGUUCUCUAUUUAGAGAAAUUCUUAGAGCGGUGCAGUUUAUGCAUGGCGAAAGGGAGCAUUGGAAGGGUCUUAGCUCCAGAAUAUGAAGACGAAUGAAUAAGGAAGAUCAGAUUCAAGGAAUAAGAGGACAAAGGCUCGAUAGGAGGAAAUGAAUAAGGGGUCCGACGGAGCCUUCGGAGUACUAUAAAGAGGAAAGCCUAGACUGAUCGAUGUUCUUGGUAGGAACAUCCAUAAAUCAGGGGAGGGAGAUCGAGUUUCAAACCUUUAUACACAAAACUGAAACUCAAAAUUCACUUCCUUCCUUCCGCAAGGCCGAUAUCUUUCAUAGCAGGCAAGGAUGAGUCCAUUAGGUUCUUCGAUUGAUUCGGAAAAGAAAUGAGAGACAAGAAAAGAUCUUUGAUGGAGAUGAAAAGGAAGAAUCUCAAAUAGACCAAGAUCCAAUUUCGGGUCAUUUCUUGGUGAACAUGAUCUGCCAUAAUCUCUUCGAUCCCUGAAUUUAUGUGCCAGAAUAAAGAGAGAUUUGGUAGGAAAGUGGAAGAGACCUUGUGGUAUAUAAUAAUGAGAGGGAGUGGGAAAGCUGCUGUAAUUCUUUGGAAAAGCCCGGUUCUCUUUGUCUUCGAGCUUGAAUUCCUCAAUCCACUCUUUCGUUCUUUCAUAUACCUCCCCACCAAUAGAUAGAGACAAAUAGGAAUAACCGAACCACGUCUACAAAAUGCCAGUACCAUGCAGCUGCUUCAAAGCCAACGUGAUGCUCCUUGGUCAGAUGACCAAGAUAUUGGCGAAUACCACAUACGAUCAAGAAAAGAGUACCUAUAAUCACAUGAAAACCAUGAAAGCUAGUUGCUAAGAAAAAGGUAGAACCAUAAAUACUAUCAGAAAUAGUGAAGGGUGCUUGAUAAUAUUCCAUUCCUUGAAAGCUUGUGAAUACUAGAGCCAGUGAAACGGUAGCUACUAAAGCGUAAACAACUCGUUUUUCCUUCCCCGCGAGUAUAGCAUGAUGAGCCCAAGUUACGGCUGCUCCGGAUGAAAGGAGAAUAGGGGUAUUAAGAAAAGGGAUUUCCCGAGGAUCUAAAACCCCAAUCCCUUUUGGGGGCCAAAUACCUCCGAUCUCUACCGUAGGUGCCAAAGAAGAAUGAGAAGAAGCCCGAAAAAAAGCAAAAAGGAACAUAACCUCCGAUACGAUAAAGAGAAUAAAACCAUAUCGAAGUCCUAAUUGUACGACUUUGGUAUGAUGUCCUUCCAACGUGGAUUCACGUAGAACAUCGCGCCACCAUACGAACAUGGUAUAUAGGAGAAAUAUGAGGCCCAAACUGAGAAGUCUUGCACCCCCUUGAAAUGAGUGCAUGUACAUCACACCUCCUACGAUGGUUGCCAAAUGAUAAGAAUGCCUUUGAGAUUCAAUCACAAACCACUUUGCCUCGGUUGUAUGUAAACCCCCCCUUCACCCCCACCCGCUAAAGUGGUAAAGAAGGGCUCUUUGGGGUCUCAUUUUCUUUCUAUCUGACAGGACUAAAAAAUAGGAAGGGAUGGUUCUUUCAUUGCAUUGAUAGAAGUCUAACUAGAAAAAGAUCUUGUUGCUUUGAUCGAGCCCUAGGCUUUCCUUGGAUAGAUCCCUCUAUAUUCCAACUGAUUUAUGGCGUAGAAGGCGGGAAUAGGAAUCACUCAUAUUGCAUUGAGCCUUAACAGUCCGGAGGACUAUCCCGCUCCGUGGGAUUCUUUUAGCCUCACAAUAUUCUUUGCACCUAUCCAUCCACGCAAUAUUCUUUGCACCUUCGCUCCAAAUAAAGUAAUAGCCGCAACUCAAUUCAUUCAGCCUUCGCCUAGAAAUUCACUUUGCGACCCACUCCGUAAGCCCACUACACGAGAAGAAAGAAUAUCCUUAGCUAUUUAUCUUUAUUAUCUCUUCUCUGAGAAUAUCCUCUUAUUCUACUAUUAGAAGAAUAUCCUACUUUCAGUUUCUAGUCAAAGAAAGGUCCAGGCGCAGGCGCAAAGAAUAUUGCGAGGUGCAGUCUAAUGGAUAGGACUGAGGGCUCGACUGAAAGGAGAGAAGGCGCAAUGAAAUAUGCGAGGUCCAUAUUCCGACUGAGGAACUGAAACUUCCGCGUAGUGCUUCCCUUGUUCAUUGAUAGUAAUCCUGAAGUUUCUUCUUGGCAUCAAAAUAGAUCAAUGAAAGAGGACUAAAAAUAAGACGAAAGUACUUAUGACGGCUUUCCUUCCCAACAAAUCUUCGUUCUUAGUUAUUUGAUUCCACUUUCAAACUUUCUGGGAGUUGUCUUCUCCUAGGCUUUCUUCUUUCUGGCAGUCUUCUGCCUUGCCGUAGGGAGUAGGUUCAGGAGAACCAUAACCAUAAAUCAGAGAGACGGAGGCAUCAAUCACGCAAUAUUCUUUGCACCUCUUCCUUUAAGCUAUAUUUUUUAGGCUCCGGAGGCUCAAAGACAGGGAUAUUGUUGAAUACUAUUAGUUCGAGUCGCAGAGAGCAAAGAAUUUUCUCUUAAUGGAACUUAGCGCGGGUUAAUAUGGAUAGGACUGAGGUCUUAAGACUCCUAACUAUUAAUGGAAAGGACCCACGGAGCGGUGCAAAGAAUAUAUAGAAGGGCAGACAGGUCCGGAGGACCUGUCUGUCCUUCGGUCUUAAUACUCCUAACGUCGAAUAAGAAGCUGGAGGCUGGGUCCAGGUGCAAAGAAUAUUGUGUCCAUUAGAUCCAUUGAAUUAGGCGAAGGAUUUUAUCAAGCUUAGCUUUCUGGAUUCUUCGGCGGAGUGGGGCUUUCUCUAGUAGGUCUGGAGGCUCAAAGAAUGAUCAAAGGCUCCGAACCAUAAAGAAGAGAGUCGGAGGACAUCCAUUGACUUUUUCUUCCUUUCACUUCUAACUUCAAACCUUUCAUAUUCAACCUUGAAAAUAAAGGAGGGAGCGGACUACGGAGGCCAUAAGUUUGAGUUCCUCAGAUGUAUAAAAACAAGUCCUCCGGACGACCUAUCCACUGAAAGUAGCUACGUAGUCUUGUCUCCUUCCCCGCGUAGUGGGCAUUGACUUCUUCAUUGAUUUUCUUCUAUCUCCCACGUAGCGGUUGAAUAUGAAAGGAAGCCCACAGAGCUGAAGAUGGAGCGGGAUAAUAAAGAAGAAAGCUCAAAAGGAGGGAGCGGACCUCAAUGAACAAGGGGAGGACUCGUUUUCAUCCUUAUGGAAGAAAAAUCUCUUUUUUUUAUCUAAAAGACGUAGAAGGAGGCUCAAUGUCUAAUCUUUCUCUCAAAUCAAUAUCCCCAGUGCAAAUAUUCCAGCAAUAUUCUCAAUAUGAAAAGAGCCUUUCUUCUUUUCUUAGAUAAAUGCGCUUCGUAGAUUAUGCUGAAGGAGGAGUGGGCCAUGAUCUUUGCUCCUUAAUUUCCCUAAUGGAUAGUCAUCUGGACCUUUCUUUUUAGUUCUUUGCGCUCGUCAACGCAUAUUUCAUUGCGCCUUCGCCUUCAAUGAAAUCCAUAAAUAAAUAAGGGUAGAUUUCAGACUCAAGAGGAGGGUUCCUUAUCAAUAUCAAUGAGACGGAUAGGCUUUCUUUUACAUUCCACAGGUCCGAAGGACUAUCCAUAUUAACAUGUCUGUCCUUCGCCUAACUAGUUCAUAUAGACCUUUGUUUUUCUUCCGCAGUCACUAAUAUGGAUAGUCCGGAGGACCUCCUUCAGCAUAAUCUAUGAAUGAUCGGAGCAAAGAAUAUUGCGGAAAAGAAGAAAGGAGUGCAAGCGAAAAAUAAUGGAUUGAAUAGUCCUUCGGACGAACUACCGCACUUGGGGGAUAUUGUUGAGAAAGAAUAUUGAAAAAGAAUGAUCGAAGAAUAUUGAAAAAGGACGGAGGAUAGGCUUUCUUUGAACAAUGUGGAUGUAUCAAAGAUUCCACAGGUUAAUAUGGUAGAUUUCAGACUAGUCCUUCACCUUGGAUCUGGGGACUAUUCUCUGUUCUAAUAGACAUAGAGGAGAGGUUCAAAGAAUAUUGAGAAUACUCGUGCAAGCGCAAUCAAUGAACAAGGUGAAAAGAAUAAAAAAAAGGCGGUCGAUGAUCAGGAAGAAAAAGUCAAAAGUCUAUCCCAUCUUCUUCGUUAGGCGCAAAGAAGAAAAACAAGGUGCAAAGAUCUAUGGCCCAAUUAUAAGGGGUCCAGAUGCACCAUAAGACUGGUCCGAAGGACUAUCCAUAUUAACCGGAGUCUUCAACAAGAUUUCCAACCCUGAAUAUUAAGCUACUGAGGCCCAAUAUUGCGAAGGAAGAACUGCGCCAUAAGACAGGUCCGAAGGACUAUCCAUUAGGGAAUGAGACGGAGGUAACGUUUGGUUUUUUGGAAAACUUGUUGGUCGCGGAUUAGUGCGUUUUUUUUGGAAAGUAACAAUUCUCUUCAGUUUGGUUUCAGAAAACUUGUUGGUCACGGAUUAGUGCGUUCUGCGCCGCCUGGUGUCACGAACAUAUUUUUCCAAAGUGUGUUUACCUUUGGUUAUAUGCUCCGAUUACCCCCAGUUUAUCUCAUCUUUAGUUUGCAUAACUAGUUUAGCUGAUUGCUUUUCAUUCUAGGUCAUAAAGCUUGGGUGUGACGUUUCGGCAUUUUCAUAUGCAAGCCUGCCAGAGAGGAAAAUGUUCAAAAUGUACUAUAGGGGAGGCAUACCAGUUGAAUCCCCGCCCAAGCAUUAGUUGUACUCUUUGCAAGCAACCCUUUUUCCUUGCAAUUGACAGUCUUUAAUGCUUAUUGUAACGUCUAUUUCAAUGUAUUUCUUUCUUUCCCGUGUUUUAUAAAUAAAAUGUCCCUAAAACGCAAACGAAGGUUACGACAUACAUCGACGUUACCCACAACUCUUGGAUAUUGAUCGACUGACUUGUUCAUCGAGUUAGAACAAGUGCCGCACAAUCGUCCGUCUCGAGGUUGAAACGCUACGAUUGUGACAAGUGGUAUCAGAGCCAAAGUUGGCUGAGUGACAGUUUUGACAAAAAUAAAAUGUCGACUGCAAAACGAGCGAGCAAGACCCAUGAAGAACGGUUGGUGGGGAUCGAAGUGCAGAUGCUCCACCUGAUGGAAGUUCCUGAUUCCAUCCGGUUCUUGGAAUAGCGGCUUGAGGAUAUUGCCAAGAAAGCUGAUGGCAUUGAAGCCGUGUCCGGUCGCCUUGACGGACUACCCAUCCAAGAGUUACUGACUAGAGUCGACACUCUAGAGUCCCGAGUUAUGAGAACGGGAAAUGUCACCUACGAGCGUGGGGACAGUUCAUCGGGCUCUGUUGCCCAGAUGGAAGAACGAGUUAUGGAGCUUGAUAACUCGCAAAAGAACAUGUUGGAGAUGAUCAGCGCAUGACAAAGGAUUUUCGAGCAACCCUCGAUGUCGUGAGGAAUGAGCUCGCAGAGGUAAGCACGAGGGUGAACCUUACUAUGCGAGCACUAGAAAAUCAGGCUCUAGCUGGAGGAGCCAUUCCUGUGGGCAGAAUCAAGAUUCCUGAGCCCAAGCCCUUCUGUGGGGCGAGAGAUGCCAAGGCGUUGGAAAACUUCAUCUUUGAUGUCGAGCAGUAUUUCAAAGCCACGAACACAAUUACUGAAGAGGCCAAGGUGACGUUGGCAACCAUGCAUCUGUCAGAAGAUGCGAAGUUAUGGUGGAGGUCCCGAUACAUGGACAUUCAAGAAGGGCAUUGCACAAUCGACACGUGGGAUGCCCUAAAAGGAGAACUCCGUUCGCAAUUUUCCCUGAGAAUGUCGAAAUUCUGGUCCGACGGAAGCUGCGUGAAUUGAAGCACACGGGGAACAUUCGGGACUACGUGAAACAGAUUGCGGGGGUAAUGUUGGAUAUACGCGACAUGAUCGAAAAAGAUAAAAUAUUCAGCUUUGUUGAAGGGUUGAAGCCAUGGGCAAGGACUAAGCUAUACGAGCAGAAAGUCCAAGACCUCGUGUCAGCCUAUGCAACAGCUGAACGUUUGUUUGAUCUGUCUAAUGACGUUCAAGAGACAAGACAUCAUUGAAGCUCUUCACCUGGAAGAGACAGAAACAGCCGACUGAAUUCUCCCGAAGCUGUCAGUAGAAAUAAAAGUCCCGGCAGAGACCGCAAGCCCUUCCAGUCAAAUACGGGGAACACCAGGCAAAGGCCCACUAGUCAAAGGACCUCCCACACUCCUAUCAGUUGCUACAUUUGUAACAGGCCACAUCGGACAAGGGAAUGUCCGGAUAAAGCGGCCUUCUACGCCUUCCAGGCCUCUCUGGCUACAGACUUAGGUGACAAGUUGGGUCAACCAGAGAAUGAAGGUGGGUAGGUGGAGGAAGUCCAAAACGUUAGAGUAGGGGCCAUAAGACUCUUGUCGUUCCUUCAGAAUAAAGCAGGGGAGACAAGUGGUCGUACAAAAGGGGGCCUAAUAUAUGUGGACACCUGGAUCAACCGAAGGCAUGCAAAGAGCACUAUGGUUGACUUCAGUGCAACCCAUAAUUUUAUAACGGUGGCGGAAGCCAGACGAUUGAACCUUCACUAGAAGAAGGAUACAGGAAAGAUGAAGGCCGUAAAUUCUACAGCUUUACCCGUCGUCGGAGUAGUGAAACGAGCGGUGAUACAGUUGGAAAGAUGGAACGGCCUUGUUGACUUUGUGGUUGUGGGCAUGGAUGACUUUGAUGUAGUUCUCGGAAUGGAAUUCCUUCUUGAACAUCAAGUGAUCAUGAUGCCUGCAGCCAAAUGUCGGUGAUCACGGGAUCUACCCCCACCGUUAUGCAGAUACCCCCACCAUUAUGCAGAUAGAACUCCGGCAACCCAAAGGAUUGAGAAUGGUCUCGGCCAUGCAACUGAGGGAGGGCCAUAUUCAGGAAGACACAAGGCGUGUCGUGGAGAGACGUUGUGAUGGGAAACAGGAUAGUUUGCCCAUGUCAGAAUCGCCUACGAGAAAUGAUCAUCGUAUGGCGCAAUCAAAAUCAUCUGGACUCAGGAGACAGUCAAGGAGACUGUCAGGUGCAGGAUCCACUAGACCUGCGAGAGAUCCGUAUCAAGCACAAGACUUCUUACGGAAGGAAGAGAAUGGACAAUUGUGUGUCAACAACCGUGUCCUAAAGCAAGCCCCGAGGAGAGGGCCAACUUUUGAGUCCGUGAGUGGGACUCAGCCUGUUGAAGCUUACGCUAAGGCAUAUGGUCCUGUGUCAGGUGGCAUCCUAAUGCAGAAUGGACACCCUGUCAAAGCUGAGAGUCAGAAACAAAGUGCCGCAGAAGGUAGUUAUACGAUGUUUGGAAAAGGAAUGCUGACCACGAUACGUAGUCUGAAGGAUGGAAGACAACAUUCCCAGGGGUCUACACAUGGAAGAGAGACGAACAACAUUGCGACCAACCGCUUUGAUACUCGGCCGAAGUGGGCUUUGAGUCAAGAAAAGUGGCAGAGGGACGUGUCAAGGGAAUCCUUGCAGAAAAACUCUGUCAUUGAAGUUGAUGUAAGUCUGGCGGAGACCAGUCAGGUGGAAGAAAAGAAUGGAGUUCAAUUGUGGAAGCUAACCCAAUCUUAUGUUAAUGCUGCAAUGAGUUCGUCAAUGGAUGGAAACCAGUUUGUGGGUGUUUGUGGCGGACAUUCUGUACAGUCCCGCCUUGUUGGUCCCUCCUAUGUUGGUAAGAAUCCUCAAGCUUGCAACAGUACCAAGAGGUGGAAGCUGGAGUCAGACAUCGUUCGGACCGAUCGAGAGGAAGCCUCGAAGUGGCCAGAAAAGUGGGCAGAUAAGAAGCAUCGCCUCCGUGAUUCCCGUGGGGAGACCAGGUCAUCGUCAAACGGCGAUCUGAACUGACUCCGUUUUUGAAGAAGACUUCAAGAUCACCGCCUCAUGAGAGAACGCGAGGGACAAACAGAAGUUCAAGAAGUCCUUGCUAAAGAAGCAAGGAAAGAAGAAGAAGACCCAUGGGGGAUACACAAGUUCGUGGUGAAGCAGAGGAGCCUCCUCAUGGAAGAAGCCUGUGGAAGACGUACCAAGACUGUGAAGCGUGGAGGUAGAAGAUCGAAGGAUUCCAGCUUUGCCAGUCGACGGGGACGUCAACUGUUUAAGUGGGGAGUGUGUCACGGACAUAUUUUUCCAAAGUGUGUUUACCUUUGGUUAUAUGCUCCGAUUACCCCUAGUUUAUCUCAUCUUUAGUUUGCAUAACUAGUUUAGCUGUUUGCUUUUCAUUCUAGGUCAUAAAGCCUUGGUGUGCGUUUCGACAUUUUCAUAUGCAAGCCUGCCAUAGAGGAAAAUGUUCAAAAUGUACUAUAGGGGAGGCAUACCAGUUGAAUCCCCGCCCAAGCAUUAGUUAUACUCUUUGCAAGCAACCCUUUUUCCUUGCAAUUGACAGUCUUUAAUGCUUAUUUUAACGUCUAUUUCAAUGUAUUUCUUUCUUUCCCGCGUUUUAUAAACAAAAUUUCCCUAAAACGCAAACGAAGGUUACGACAUACAUCGACGUUACCCACAACUCUUGGAUAUUGAUCGGCUUACUUGUUCAUCGGUUAGAACAAGUGUCGCACAAUCGUCCGUCUCGAGGUUGAAACGCUACGAUUGUGACACCGACGGCCACAUAGAAUUGAGAAAAGCCUAUGGUUGAGGCAGCAUUAAUUUAUGAAACUUUACACGUGGGAAGGGAUGACUCUUUCUAUUCAAACCUGUAAACAUAGAAGACCGCCUCAAUGAACAAGGGAUCAUUCACAUAGAAUAAAUAUGAACAACGAGAAAGGGAAUAUAAGGUUUGAAUUCAGAGGAAAGCCUAGCUUGAAUGAACAAGGUGAAAAGAAUAUUGACAGCUGCACUUACGAGUCUUUCAGUUACCUUUCUGCCUCUUUAAAGAGAGUUCAAGGUUUUCUAUUAUCGGAAGAAUCAGAAUAAGAAGAAAAUAGAGGAAGACAGAGAGAAGAGAGCUCAGGAGGCGCAAUGAAAUAUGCGUGAGAAGCGCAUUUCCUUAGUGGAAUACUUUGAUAGCGGAAUAAGAAGUCGGAGGCUCGGUCAAGACGAUCUUUUGAUCUAUUCUAAUGGUCUCUAAUGGAUAGUCCUUCGUUUUAGAGUCCUACAGAUAAAUCCUCCGGACUGGUCCGAAGGCUAGGUUCAUACGGAUAGUCAGGAGGACGGUUAGUUGGAGCCUUGUUUUUCGAAAUCUUCUUUGAGCCUCAGUCGUCUCAUUGAUAAGGACAUCUUUGCAAAUGAAGAGCGGGAGGUGCAAAGUGCGGCUAUUACUUUGAAAAGAAUAGGAGCUCCGCGGUUUGAAUUGAAUAAAAAGGAUAGGCUGAAAUUCAAAGUGAAUAAGAGGAUAUUUUCAGAUAUAAUAUCUAAAGUCAAUGAACAGGGGCUCCUAACCUCUGAUUUAUGGGGAGCCUACUACGUCCAUUAGUUCCGAACUUGGCUCCACUCCUAGUAGUUCGAACUUGGCUUUGCUCCUUCGCUUUUUCUCUUAUUGAUCUCUCUUGUAAUGCUUUCUACUAAGAAUCAAGAAAGCGCAACUUCUAUUUUGUCCGAACGACCUUGAUUAAAAAACGAUGCUUCCUUGGUCGUGUAGAACAUGGAUUAGCAUUAUUUCAUUCCUACAAGCGAUCCCCCAUCCAGGAUUGGAAGAAGUGCUAUAUGAGGACUUUGAGAUCAAAUAGAAUAUAUUUCUUUCAAGACCUCGUGAGCCACUUAUUUCUCUGAAACAAGAGAGAAAAGUGAUUUUCCUCCUUUUUCUCAAUAAGUCGACGACCUUACACCAUUGGGAUACUUCUUCUUUGAAACUAGAGUACAUAUAGGAUACACCGGUGCUAAAACCUUUUCUCAAAAGAUCUUCCAAACUGUUGGGGUCCUUGCUCCGUAUGUUCUUCCCCCGGUGUGAAAGCAGUUGGUUCCAUAGUUUGAGAAUUCUACUACUGAUCCCAAGUACUCCAUCUCCAUCAUUGCAUAUGGGAAUAUAGAAAAGUCAAGAAGAAAAGGCAUGAGCAGAAGAAUUGUGUGAAAUAAGUCAAUUUAUCCAAUUGAGGCAUUCUUUCUUUUUCUUAAGAAAAUUCCCUCUAGACAUAAAUCCUUUCUGUACGAGUAGUGAAGAACUAUAGAGAGUAGUGGUUGGUUGUUGACCAACAAAAAGCAUGGGAGAAAGAAAGAUGUUGGCAAGGAAGCAUCAAAAUAGAUCAAUGAAAGAGGCUCAAAGAAUGAUCGAGGACUAUUUUAGUCCGACUAGAAACUAGGGAAACUAAAGACUAACGAAAUCUAGAUGAGAAUCCGUACAAUUAGUCUCGAGAAAAAGAAGAAAGCAAUAAAAAAAGUGAAGACAGAAAAUGAACCGAAAAUCUUCUUCUCUCAUAUUGAAUUCAUCCUUCUACGCAUCUCCAUGGGCUCGACUGAGAGUGGAGGAGAGGACGGGAAGAAUGAGAAAAAUAGUAAGGCGAGAAGACAGGUUCGAAGGACUAUCCAUCAGGGAGUUUGGACCCCGUAGUUAGGAGCAAAGAAUAUUGCGAAAGAGUCAUAAUAGGUACAAAUCUUCUUAUAGAUUAUGUUGAAGGAGGCGGCGCAAUUCAAUAUGCGAAAGUCAUGAUCCCUUUAAAGCAGACGUUAGGCGCAAAGAAAGAAGCUCAUUAACGAGAAUGAAAGAAUAAUUCACUCAUUAACGAGAAUGAAAGAAUAAUUCUGAUUUCAUCACCUUGUUUUUACGGAGUUCAAUACUAGAUUGAAGACGGAGGGAAAUCCCAGAUUUUGCUAGGUUUUGGGCCUAUAAAGUAGCAAGAAAUCAUGAAAAAUCAGUCAAAAUUAGACAAUUAUCGUAGCAUAUCAAUAUGAGAAAAAGUAUGAAAAAGAAGCAAAAAAGUCGGGAAAUAGCAAUUCAAGAAGAAAGCCUAGGACAGGGAAAAGAAAUGAACACUUCUAGUUUGAGUUUAUGGUCCGGAUACUGACAGGUCUAUUCUUUAUUCCGCUCCUGAAUAUGGAUAAUCCUACUUCGGUUAAUUACGGAUAGUCCUCCUUCGGUUAAUUACGGAUGGUCCUACGGAUAAAUCCUCCAGACUACUUCCUUCCAUAUGGAUGGUCCUACUUCGGUUAAUUACGGAUGGUCCUACUUCCAUAUGGAUAGUCCUACGGAUAAGAAUCCUGCGGACUCCGGACUACUUUGGUUAAUUACGGAUGGUCCUACGGAUAAAUCCUCCGGACUCCGGAUAAAUCCUGCGGACUCCGGACGUACGACGUAGGAUAAAUCACCUGGACCUUUCUUUGGCACUACGGACUACUUCGGUUAAUUACGGAUGGUCCUACGAAUAAAUCCUCCAGACUCCGGGUCGUAAGACGUAGGAGAAAUUCCUGCGGACUCCUUCCUUCCAUAUGGAUGGUCCUACGGAUAAAUCCUCCAGACUACUUCAAUUAAUUACGGAUGGUCCUACUUCCAUAUGGAUAGUCCUACUUCAAAUGGAUAGUCCUCCGGAUAAAUCCUGCGGACGUAGGACCCUGGACCUUUCUUUCUUUAAUGGAUAGUCCUCCGGAUAAAUCCUGCGGACGUAGGACCCUGGACCUUUCUUUGGCACUCCGGACGGAUAAAGAAAGGAUAAAUAAAGGCGCAAAGAAUAUUGCGAAGCGAAGCGCAUUUAUCUAAGAAAAGAAGAAAGGAUAAAUAAAGGCGCAAAGAAUAUUGCGAGAGCGGGAAUUACCUUUUCUCUUCGGGUUAGCUAAGAGUUGCCGGAGGCUUGAAGUCGGAUAAUUACUUUUACUUAAAGGUUUCACAAACCUGCAAAAUCUUCUCCAAAUUAGCGUUAGCGUUCUGAGCUAGCCAAGCAGUAUAUUUAAAAUAUAGAAAGAAGAAAAAUCCAUGCAAUCUAAGUACACUAAGAACCUACAGCAUCGUCACCGCUGCGUGGGAAGGUUAAUUCUUCUAACUCUGGUAUUAUCGUUGAACAAGCAGUUCACAUCCGACUGCCCGCGUAGUGGGGGAAGCUCGCUCGCUAACUUUGCACUUCGGCCAAAAUGCCGAAAAAAGGCUAAGGCCGAAGGAGGUCUGACUCCUUCGCUCAAGGAAGAAUUGCCCGAUUGGAUAUAUAUCUUGGUGCGGAGAGAGGAAAGGAUCACGGAAGCCUCAGUCUCAGUACGAAAGGGGCAAAAAGCUGGAAAAAGCAUACUGGCUUCACCUUGCCCUAGGAUGGGGUCCGCCGGAUCUUUUAAGGCAUAGGCUUAAUGCUGAGACGCACGGGGAUAUCCGGUCCAGGAUGGAUAUUCAAGACAAGGACGAAGGCUCUCCGUCACGCAAGAUGAUUACAAGUCUUAGGAGUGAACUUCCGCUUUACCCCUUCCGGUAUCAGGAAGCGAAGGGCAGAGAAAGCGAGCGAGAAAACAUAAAUCAAGGCGGUCGAUGACUUAAAAUAGGCAAAAAGAAAAGACAGAAAGCCUACGGGUUUCUCGGUUUACCCUUCUUUUAGGAUAGAAAAAGGCACUGCCUGUGUGACCACUACAAGCGGACGUGACGAGCGACGCAGGGCCACCCACGACCGCUAGCAAUACGAGGUAAAGCGGCCAGAAAGCAUACCAUAGGAUGCGUCCUGAGGGCAUUCACAUAAACAUUCUUCGAAUUGUUCACAUUCGGCGGGAUGUUCUUAGCCUUGUCUCCAGGUGAAUAAUUGAAUCGGCACCGGCGAUCGGACCUAUUGCAGCCUUCGGUUGACUGGUGGCAUUCGAUGGUAUGCUUGAGGCCUUCCCAACCCGCUCCGUGUAAAAGAGGUAGAAGGAGGCUCAAAGAAUUAUCGAAGAGCAAGACGAAAGAAAAUAGCGACUUCCAGUCGGUGAUGGGAAAUCUCAAUGUUAUCGCAGAUUCAAAGGCGCAAAGAAUAUUGCAUUGAGGCUCGACUGAAAGGAGAGGCGAAUUUGAGAAGAAAGAACUAUAUCGGCUAAAUACUCAACUGCCUCAGACGUCACUGGGACAAGAGCCGGAGAUUCCGAAACCUCUCGCAGCUUCUUUGCUUCCUCUGGUCUCGAUAUUUGAACCGCCUCAAUAAACAAUAAAUAAGGGUCCAAAAAAUCAAGGUCAUCUUCAAACCCUUUUUUUUAUGCGCCUCAGUCCUAUCCAUUAGAACGUCGGCCCUCACCCUUUUUCUUCUUAGUGCGCGCUUGAGCUUUAGUCUUCUGAGUUCUCAAAUUCUUUGACCCUCUGUCUCAGUAUUCGGCAGAGAUGCUGAUGUUAACAAGAAAUGCAGGCUGAAUGUUGUAUGGAAGGAUGAUCAUUUCGGCUUCUUGUAGCCAUUGAUGCUGUCUAAUGCUUGGAGAGACAUUGUUUAAUGUGACUUUGGACAAGGUUACUGAAGAUAGAACUAUCUGGCCUCAGAGGUCAGUUUUCAGUUGCUAAGACAGUGAAGCUCUUUCAUCUUCCUGGUAAUACUGUCCCUUGGUUCAAGCUUCUUUGGGGUAAGAAGCACAUCCCUAGUCAUGCUUUUCUUUCCUGGAUGGCUAUGAAUAAGAGUCUGAGAGUCAAAGCUAAACUGUACAAUCUUUAAGUGCUUUCGUCUGAUUUUGAGGUUUGGAAGCAAAGAAGCAGAGCGGAGUUUGAUUCCUUAUAUCAGAAAAAGAUAUAGGAAGACUCCCAGAAAGAAGAAAGCCUAGGAGAAAGCAAAGAAAGAGUAAGGAUCAGAAAGCUCCUAACCCCUAUUUAUUUAUGGAUGUGAAUUGAGCGAAGGCGCAAAGAAUAUUGCGAAGGUUCAAAGAAUAUUGACUUGAUAAACCUCUAUUUAGCUUCUUAUAUCUGAAGACGAUAAAGUCAGAUAAUCAGCCUCCGGCUGGGUCGGAUCGUCCAUACCUAGUUGAGUAUCUUGUCCGUCAUAACGAAGUCACUCUUUGAAAAAGGGUCGGGCUUUGUUGGAGUUGACUCGGUGAGUACACUUUCAUCUUUACGAGAAGAAGCGCGAACAACAACUAUAUUAUUCAGCAGAGACCUGAUUUACCCGAUGAGUGGAACGGCUCGACAAAAGUCUUAGGACUCGGGACGACGCGCCUCCUUCCUGCUAGAACUCAUAGGUCUACGGGGUUCUUUCGGUAGCGAGAAUAGUGGUCCCAAACGGAAUAGAAGUACUUUUGAUUCACUGAAUCGGAAUCUUUGAAAGAAGAAAGGGGGACGGAGGAUCAAUGAAAUUUGAUGAUGAUGAGUAAGCUCUUGCUUUUCUUGCUCCUCUUUCUGAAGUUGCGAGAGGUUCAAAGAUCCUUAUCAAUGAUUGGAGUGGCUGUUCCGGUUGCAGACGUUGCUGUUGGAGUAGAAGCUGUAGCCCUUUCGGUGAGGUGCGAAUGCUCGACCUCGACCCAUUGGCAUUAGUUGAGGAUGCACCAUCCCUGAUUAUUUUUUAGGAGAAAGCCUCUUUCGUCGGGUUCAAGGGAAAAGACUAAGAAUGAGGUCCCCUCCCCCCAGUUGAGGAACGAGGGCAAAAGCGAAGCCUAUGAAGUGAGUAUGAGCUCGCUCGACCCCCACGUAGCGGGAAUAGCACCAUCUUCUCUCUUUCAUGAGUAGUUCACUGCACUCAUUAGUAGCUGGACCAAGAGGUUAUUCUCUCUAUGAUCUCCUGGACUGGAAUAGCGCUCUCCCCAUAGCAAGAGGGAGCUCGACGUAGUCGGUCUUUCGGCAGUCACAAUAAUUAAGAGAAGCAGCUGCUCGGGAGAGGGAGGUAUCAGAUGCACGAAGAGAGGAUUGGUCGAAUCGACUGUAAGAAGAGGCAUCUGUUCUUGUGGCUGUAGCAGUUGCAGAAGUUGAAUCGUCUGUGGCUGUUCUUGUUUAAGAAAUAGCUGCAGCUAUUCCCACCAAGGCCUGACGAUAGGCUGAUUUCAGGAUUUCCUAUCCAUCCUCAAAUUCUUUGAGCCUUUGUUACAAGAAAAUACUCUUUAGUGACUCAAGAAUGACCCUGUCUUAUGGCACCUCUCAUCUGGAGCCUUUGUUUUUGAAACAAGUCAAAUUCUCUAAUGGAUAGGCCUGAAUUCAUGAAUAUUGAAUUGAACCUACUAAAAUCAAAGGAAUAAAGAAAGAGCUCAAAAGGAGUCAAAAUGAGAAGUCCGAAACCUCAUCACCUACUCCCGGAGGCAAGGUGAAAUUCAAUAUGACGAAGUCUUAUAGUUGGGUCUCAUCCCCCCAUAAUCAAGUAGCGUCCACUAAAAAGAAGCGGAGCGCGGAAGGACGAGGCGCAAUGAAAUAUGCCUUGAAUGAAUCUACCCUUUUUAGACUCGACUACUCCGCUACGUGGGCUUACUAGUAAUGCUGAAGUUUCCUCCUUUUCUAGCUUUCUUUCUAAUGCCCUUCUUUAUGGUCAAUGGUCACUUCCCCGAGGCGCGGAUCCCACUACACGGGAAUAUAUUAUGAUAUAAUGAACUAUCUUCUUUCUAAUAGCUAGUUUCAACAGCCACCGGGGAGGAGACAAGAACUCAAUCUACUGAAACAAGGGUUUCAACCACAGCGAGAGCAGACCUCAAAAAAAUAAGGAAGAAAAAGAUAAAGGCGCGAAGCGAAGCCUAUGAAGUCAUAAGGGCAAGGGCUUUCCGUGAACUUUCUUAUGAUGGGAAAUCCUUGUUUUCAUUUGCGAGACACAUUUCAUUCGUAGAAAUACCACUUCCUACUUCCUCAUCCCGACAAUAAAUAAAGCACUACGCGGGACAAAGUAGAUUCCCAAACUUAAAAGGAAAGACUAAAAUCAAAGCUCCAGAUGAGUUGAAUUGAGGUGCAAUGAAAUAUGCCUUUCUGCAGUGUGCGAAUUCGCUCUUUCGGC